GAAAGGUUAAAUGUUGUAUGGAUGGAAAACGAAUAAAAUGGAACCUCGACCCACUAUCAAAGAUGAUAGGAACCUCGGUAUAACUUUGAACGCCACACUUUGGGUGCAAAGUGAUAAGUUCAAAAUACAAAAACGGGUUGACGCCACAAGGGUUACUUGAUAAGUCUAAACAGUCCUUGGAGAACAAUGAGAGUUGAAAACAAACUCACAAAGUAAACAAAUUUCAUAUAAGUUUUAAAAAUAUAUUGUCUAACCUUUACAUGUUUACAAGCCAACUAUUUAUACUAAAACUAGGACAUGAAUAGCCAAUUUUGGCCAUUAAUAAGUAACAUGAAUCAGCCCAUGAACCGAUUUUAAUGAUAUAUGUUCAUCCAUUGAAUGACAUUUAAGUCACAUUCUUCCCCCCAUUGCCAUCCAUAGAUGCAUCCUUAGUCAUGAAGCAAAUGUUUGUUCAUCGUGGGUAAUAAAUUUGACUUCUAGAAUCUGCCCAUUCAUCCCUUCAAUUUGGAUGGUGCUUUUAGGGCUCCUUUGUUUCCACGAAAAAGGCUCCUAGGUGAGCUCAAACGGCAGCUUAAAUGAGGGUUUUAAUUGCUGCUCAUGCAUUCUCUUAAUUGAGACGGCACAUUAAUGGCAUUUGAGGAACACGAAAAUGGCUCAUGGAAAAUAGAAAUCAUCAACUCUUCUUUAAAUGAUGUCCAUGCAUGGAAGGAGAAUUCGGCAGCUCUUUUAUGGCCAUCCCACGCAUGCUGGAUAGCUCCUUUGCUGCACAUUAAAUUCGGCCAGCAUGCUCCUAUUAAUGUUUUUGUUGAACACGAAGAAAAUUAACUCAGCAACUAGUUAAUGCGGUGCAUGCAAGCUCCAGCAGCUAAUUAAUGCUGUCCAUGCAUGGGAACAUCUCAUUUAAUUCAUGUAUUUGCUUCCCUUUAAAUGACGUUCCUUACAUGUAGAACAGCACCUUAAAUGCAUGUCUCCUUUGCCAUUAAGUAGUUGUUUUCAGCUGAAUUAAUUACCUGCAGACACAAAAUAAAUUCGAUCAAGACAUAAAUUAAACCUCAUUAAAUUCGGCAGCCUCCUUUAAUACAUAAUUAACUCAUACAUGAAACAAAACAAGUUAAUUAACAUAUUAAUUUCGGCUGGACAAUAAGAACAACAAUAAAUUCGUCACUUUUAAAGAACUUAAGACACAUUUAAUACUACUCUUUAAUUCGGCUGAAACUAAUAAAAAACAUCAAUAAAUUCAGCAUAUUAAAUAAAUGUAAUAAAUAAAACACAAUCAAUUAAACUCAAAAAUUAUUAAAGAUGUUCAGAUUUAAACAAAUUAAUUUACUAACACUUUUUGAGGUGAAUUAAAUAAAUAAACUAACUUAGUCAAUUUAUUUCAGCAAAUUAAAUUAUAAGAAUUAAAAUAAAAUCAAAUUGAGCAAAAUGAUCCCAUUGAGCUGGAAAAGAGCUAAACGAAGCUCAGUGAGAUGCAAUCGAUCUAAUUUAGCUCGCAUGGGUGUGCAAUAAAUACUUAUGGAGCUGAUCAAAAAAUAUGCCCGGGGCGUGGUUGUAUCACGUAUUGUUUCUUCUUUUCAGGUUUCUAGAGAUUCAAAUGACAAGUUUCAACUUCAUUACCUUCCUGAUGAGAGACGAUUCCAUUUGAUCGAAAAAGGUAAGGUUCAAGCGCUUAAAGGUAAGCAAGGUAAGGAGUUUUUAGUUAAUGAAUCAUGGCAAUCAGGUUUGAAAGUUGUUGAUAAAAUUUUUGAUAACUUAGUUUUUAAAAGAUCUCCUAAUUUUGAUUUGGUUAAUUGUUACUCGCUAUUUGUGGUUGAUAAAUUCGUUUUAAGUGGAGGCAUGAAGAGUUGUUCACUCAAUAAGUUUAGUGUUGAAAAAUCAUUUGAUGUUGUUAGAUUAAAUCCACAAAUACAAAAUCUGAUCAUGUUUGAUAAAGAGUUUUCAUGCGAAACGCUCAAUCUGUUUGAUCGUGAUGGUAAUGAAAAUUUUUUAACUCUUAGUGUGAAAUCUUCGUAUAUUUGCAUGAGAUUUGAGAGAUUUGAUUGUUUGAAUUUAUUUUUGCCUACAUCUUCUUUAUUUGGCAUGUGUGAUGUCUUGGUGAAACUAAAGUUUUUGUUACGUUACGGAAUAGCCGAUCAAAACCAUGUUUUUAAACCCGGAGCCUGUAUUCCUAAGUUGACGUCAAGCGAAGGUGAGUAUCAAAAUUGUAUUUUAAAUCAAUAUGUUGACCUCUUCUAUUUGCUUCAAGUUUUAUCUUUAUUUAGUUCGAAAACCAAACAUGUGAAUUCGUUGGCUUGCCAAGUCAAAAUCAAAUUUUUGAUUCUGGAGGUUGUUGUAUAUUGUUGCUUAAUGGAUUCGAACAUGUGUUGCAUGAUUUUAACUUUAAUGUGCUUCAAGUUCUUCAUAAGUUACUAGCCACGAAUUUUUCUGGACGAAUUGAAAUGGUGAACAAAAACUUUGUCUUUGAUCCCGGUGAAUGCUGUUCCAUAUCAUUGUUCAAGGGAUUUGGACCAUGGAAUUCUAAUUUUCGAAACUAUAAUCUUCAAAUACCUUGUGAAUCAGGUUUGUUUCCAUCGAAGAAAAAGGUAAAACCAAUUUCUGUUUUUGAUCCUGGUAUUGAUUCAUGUGUUGUUGAUAUGGGGUUGCGCGCGGACCAAGAUCGAGUUGCCAAGUCACGGGAAACUCCUACGAAAGCUCUAAACGAACAGAUCUGAAAAUUAAAAACAAAGAAUAAGAUUAAACUAAUCAGAUCUGAAAUUAAAUCCCCAAAUUCAAUUAAAUGAGCAGCAAGGAACAAAGAAAGAAUGAAUAAAUGUCUUCGGAGUUCAAAGAGAUGAAAUCGAACUCCAAUAGUGAAACCCCACAAGCCGAAUCUGCUCCAGAACAAACCGACAAGAAAAACCCCAAAUUCUAGCAACUUGAUUUCCCCAAAAUCAGAAUGUAUUAAUCGACAAGAACCCUAGGAUUUAGGGAUUUUGAUUCGAAACUUUACUGCCCAAAAGUAGACCGAUUAAAUGGAAGGAUCUUGGAGUUAAACAAAGUUGAAUCACAAGCAAGAAAAGCAAAAAUAUUAGAUAAUGAAUCGGCACAAGUAGGAAUAAAGAAACAAAUCGAAACAGCAAGAUAUAAAGAAAAGUCCUAAGAACCCUUGAAUUCUCGAAAGAAUUCACAAAUUCCUUCAAACGGCUCUAAUCUCCCCUCCAAAGAAUAUCGAUGGCAAGAAGAAGGUUGAAGAUGGCUCCCACAAUCAAAAGAUUGUUAAAACAACUUCUAAAGAAAACUCAAGAGAGAAUUCUUGGAGAAAACCCCAAAGAAAAUUCUACACUCAACAAAUCUGAAAUUUGAUAGAAAAAAUAAUAAUAAGAUGUUUACAAAGGGUGGCUGGCCAAUGCUUAUAUAGGCCUCCAACAAAUCCUAAUCUAAUUAGAAAACUUAAAAAAAUUAAACUUAAUUAAAAAAACAAAGGAAAAUUCAGCCAUGCAUCCUAUUGGGCUGUUUUGGGCCGAAUUUAACAUGUGAUAUUCCUAAAACUUAAAAAUUAACUUAAACAACUAAAAUGUUUACAAAUUGGGCCCUUUGACAUUUUGGCCUGAUUUUCAACUAAAUAUGUAUGGAUUUCUUGAUUGGGCUGGGAAUUUGCUUAUUGGGCCUCGCCUUUAAGAAUUUGGGCUUGUGAUCCAUCUCCUACCGAAAUUGGGUCGUUGACGCUCGUAAUGGAGAUCCAACGCGCUUUGGCUGCAAGAUUCAGUUUCUUGGACCAAGAUUUCCAAGAUUUGAAAUCUUGAUUUUCUUGAUUCUUGAAAUCGCUCCGAACAGCAAAAUUGGGCCAAGAUUCGAUUUCUUGAUUUUCUUGAAAACAAGAAAGUGAAUCUUGAUUUUCUUGAUUUGAGCCCAUCACCUUCUUAAGCUUGGGUUGGGCCUUUGUGACUCGUAUCAUUCCCCCUUCCUCAGAAAGAUUCGUCCUCGAAUCUAAAAAAUCAAAUGAACUUGACUUUCCUUGAUCGAACGGGACUAAUGGCAAUUGAGUCCACUGAAAAGAAUAGCCAUGAAAUAGUAAAUAGCAACGCAAACAAGCUUGUAGUCCAAUUAUAAGCAUAAUAGAACAGGUAUAACGCAUGUGAAUGGACAGAUUCAGAUUACCAUGCCUUAAUCGACGGUCUAUAGAUUCACUCACACAUGCAUUAUCAAAAACAAGAAUCUUUUUAUCAACCAUCAAAAUAGAUUUAUCAUCAAUAAAUAAAAUAGGACAGUGAAGCACGUUUCGAUCUAAGUGUUCAUCAACACGAUCUUUGUCGCUAUCCGAGGAGUACAAAAGUGUUUCAAAGGUUUCAAGCAUCUUACCUUGAUAAGCAAAAGAAUAAGGGUCGAUUUUACCUUUUUCAUUUAAAACAAACCUUCGUUCAUCGGGGGCAUAGUGUAGUCGAAUCUCCGUUGUUGAGUUAACCUUUGUCAAAUGGAACUCAAACUUCAUGUACAACCACAUAAACUGUUUAAGGCACGAAUAUAAAUUGAAAACAAAUUUGGAAAAUUUUGUUACCUUAUUCUCCAAAAUAGAUUUGGACAAAUUCGAGGAUUUUACACAAGGUAAAUCAAGAGAAUAACAAAUCACGCUUCUUUUCGUAAUGACUUUAUCAACCACAAUCGAAGAGUAACAAUUAAUCGGAUCAAAAUGAGGGGAUCUUUUAAGAACUAAGUCACCAAAAGUUUUAUCAAUAAUUUUCAAAUCUGCACGGGACUCAGUUGCUAAAAAUUCCUUACCUCGCUUACCUUCUUCAGGCUCAUGUAGUGUGAUUUCAUCUUCAACCUUUCCUAUGUUGAUCGUAUGAAAGCGUCUUUCAUCGAAAACGUAUUGAAGUUGAAAGUUAUCUUUCGUAUGUGGCCAAUGGAAGUGUUCUAUCCCACGUAAAGGUGGUAAACCUUUAGGGGUCUUACUAAAAACAUCCUCAUAAUCCUGCAAAAAACAUUGAAACACACUAGGCAAAUUUUCGUUAAUGUUAGAUAAAGAUAAAUAGUUUUGCCUAAACCUCACAAGGAUACAAUGCUGUUUAUUAAGUAGGGCUCUCCGCACAUCUUUUUUUGUUGCCAUCAAAUUUUUCACUCUCAUUUUACCACUUGCGGAUUCACUCACCUUUGGGCUAUUUAGAUUUUGACUUUUUUCACUACUAGCCUCUUUUCUCUCUGUAUUUUGUAUUUGUCCUUUCUCCCUUACCCCCUCACAAAAUUUCAUCAUUUUUAAUUGAUCUUUAUAUACAUCACUGGGAUUUAAAGGAGCAAGAGUGAAUUUUAGGCCUUUAAACACAAGAGAGUAUCUAUUAAGCUUGCCUUGGUGUGUAACAUCAUGAUCAAAUUGCCAAGGCCGUCCAAGGAGCAAGUGUGCCGCAUGCAUUGGGACCACAUCACACCAUACCUCAUCCUCAUAAUUCCCGAGCUUAAAAGUGAUCAAGGACUGUUUUGUAACUUUAACUUCUGAGCAUUCAUUAAGCCACUAAGGUGAUACGGCUUAGGGUGCUCGAUACAAGGUAACGUUAAGGAAUCCACCAAAUAACUGCUAACUAGAUUCGAACAACUCCCACUAUCAAUAAUAAGUGAAUAUAAGUUACCUUUUAUAAAACACCUAGAAUGGAAAAUAUUGGUCCUUUGGUUAUCAAAAUCGUCUCCCAUUUGGCUAUUAAGGGUUCGGCGGACUACCAUCUUAUUUUUUUCCUCUUUUUUUUGAAGUAUCUGCAAAAUAAACACUCAACACUCAAAAAUAAAAGUUAGCAAACCUCACCGUUAAUCACUCAAAAAGAAAAUUCAAAUUCUCAAUGAGGUAGAAUUCAAUCUUGUGAGUUCUUUAUCAGAGUUUAUAUCAACCAAUUAGAGAGUGGAUGAACCGAUCUACCAAAGAAUCCUAAUUUGCACUAGGAUGCCAAAAACUGACGAGACACCAAUUGAUUCGUGUUGCACCGAGGAAGAAGUUGUGCACACGUUUAAAUCCUACUAACACAAGAAACAAGAAGGUGUUAGAUAACGUAAAGGAAGAAUAAAGGAAAACAAAUGAAAACCUACAGCUAAGAAUCAAUAAAAAUUGCUGAAAACAGAAAAACCCGAAAAAUUGCGGAGUGACUUGACAACUUCGUUCGAGGUGUUACCGAUCUCUAAAAAUCACGAAAUUAAAUAUUGAAUGUCCUUAAAUAUUUAAUUUUUUAUCUGAAAAUUUUGGGCACCAAAUUCAACCCGCUGAAUCGUUUUUUAAAUUUUUAUUGAAUUUCGUAUUUUUUGAUUUUUUGACUUUUUUGACUGAUUUUUUUGCGGGAAUAAUUUUUUUAUAUUCAACCACAGUGCCAAAAACAUGUAUGUAAAAUUUCAGAUCAAUCGGACAACGUUUACCCACUCAAAUGAAUUUUUUUGAACAAUUUUUCUGGGUAAAACUACUGUUUGUGCUUUAAAAAAUAGAGAUCAGUUUAGAAGUCAACCAAGAACACCCAAAACGCCCAAAAUCUGAUACCAAAUGAUACGGGGUUGCGUGCAGACCAAGAUCGAGUUGCCAAGUCACGGGAAACUCCUACGAAAACUCUAACGAUCAGAUCUGAAAUCAAACAAAGAACGAGAUUAAAUCUGGAAAAUUAAAAUCUGGAAUAAGAACCCUAAAAAUCAGCAAGAUCUAAUCAAGAAACAAAACACUUAUGAAAGAGGUUUCUUGAAACCAAGAACACGAAAUUGAUUCCCAAGAAUGAACUCCCACAAGCCGAAUCUGUCAAAGAACACCAAAUCAGCAAGCAAAUUAGAUCGACCAGAAUUUCUUGAAACAAAUUAGGGUUUAUGCGUCAAUGAGAAAGAAAGAAAUUGAAGGCAUAAAACGGCUAUUGAGGUUGAUAAAGCGAGGGCGAUCUGCUCAAUUGACCACCACGAAAGUUUCCCCUAAGUUUCCACAACCAAAUUCACCCAAGAAGAAUAAGUGUGAAUUCAGCAAGAACCCUAGAAUUUGGGGAUUUAGGGCUGAUUGUCGAACUCCAGCAAAAAGUGAAAUUGAUCAAUUCUUUAAGAUAAACGAGGGCUGCAAGCACAAAUAAAACAACAAAUAGAUUAGAAUUGAGAUUCGGCACAAGUAGAAUUAAAAAAAAGAAUUUGAACAGCAAAAAUUAAAGGAUAAGUCCUAAAGAUCCUUGAAAUCUUGAAAGAUUUCACAAAUUCCUUCAAACGGCUCUAAUCUCCCCUCCAAAGAAUAUCGAUGGCAAGAAGAAGGUUGAAGAUGGCUCCCACAAUCAAAAGAUUGUUAAAACAACUUCUAAAGAAAACUCAAGAGAGAAUUCUUGAAGAAAACCCCAAAGAAAAUUCUACACUCAACAAAUCUGAAAUUUGAUAGAAAAAAUAAUAAUAAGAUGUUUACAAAGGGUGGCUGGCCAAUGCUUAUAUAGGCCUCCAACAAAUCCUAAUCUAAUUAGAAAACUUAAAAAAUUUAAACUUAAUUAAAAAAACAAAGGAAAAUUCAGCCAUGCAUCCUCUUGGGCUGUUUUGGGCCGAAUUUAACAUGUGAUAUUCCUAAAACUUAAAAAUUAACUUAAACAACUAAAAUGUUUACAAAUUGGGCCCUUUGACAUUUUGGCCUGAUUUUCAACUAAAUAUGUAUGGAUUUCUUGAUUGGGUUGGGAAUUUGCUUAUUGGGCCUCGCCUUUAAGAAUUUGGGCUUGUGAUCCAUCUCCUACCGAAAUUGGGUCGUUGACGCUCGUAAUGGAGAUCCAACGCGCUUUGGCUGCAAGAUUCAGUUUCUUGGACCAAGAUUUCCAAGAUUUGAAAUCUUGAUUUUCUUGAUUCUUGAAAUCGCUCCGAACAGCAAAAUUGGGUCAAGAUUCGAUUUCUUGAUUUUCUUGAAAACAAGAAAGUGAAUCUUGAUUUUCUUGAUUUGAGCCCAUCACCUUCUUAAGCUUGGGUUGGGCCUUUGUGACUCGUAUCAGAUGUUCUUUUGAGUUUAUUUGUUCAAGUUGUGACUAAAAUCUUGGAAAGUUCUUUUGUGUUUAACCUUCAUUAUGUCACUAAUUUGUUUUCUUGUUUUGUAGGUGACUAUGUUAGGUGGUACCCUCCUAAAGAGGGAGGGCAUGCAAAUGACUUUCUUUCUUGCCGAGCCAAUUGUGGUUCUUGAAAUUUUGAAAAUAAUUCUGUCCGGAUCAUCAACAAAGGGGGUCGUGAUCUUGAAAAAAUUUUCUUGGGAAAAUGGCUCGAUUUGAGGACAAAUCGUUUUCAAGAGGGAGGGUAUGAUGCGAUCUCGGUCGCAUCAUGUUAUGACACAACUCGAUGCUAUCGAGAUUGGCCCAAACUCUAGGGGCCCAAGUGCAAAAUGAAGUUUUUAAUUUCAGUUUGUCAAUUUGGUUGCUAGAAAAUAAGGACUUUGAUUCAUUAAUUUUUAGUUAUUUUAGUUUGUGUUUUUAAUUAUGUCAUAGUUUGCACAUCAUUAAUAUGUGUUCUUCAUUUAAUAAAGUCAUGCAUUAUAUAACUUUCAUGUUAGUUAAGUUUGCAUCAUUAAAUUAAGUCAAGUUAGUUUAAUUAUGUAUCUUUCAUGUUAGUUAAAUUUGCAUUUCAAAACCAUGCAUUUAAGCAUCUUAGUUUAAUAAAUGAGUUGCUGGACAUUUAUUCAACUCAUCUUAGUUUUAAUUAAUAAGUGUUUUUGUUGAACUUUAUUUAAUAAGUGUUGUUCUUAAUUGAUCUAGUUCCUAGGAUUAUUUAUUGAUGCAUAAAUUAAGUUCUUUUAAUUAUGCUUCUUUAAUUAAACUAGUUACUGGAAUAAUUAUUGCAUAUAUGUUUUAGUUCAUUUAUUUAAGUAAGUUUAAUGUGUGUUAUGAUUAAUAAGUUUUUUCUAUGUGUUUAAUAAACUCAUUUUAAUGUGUUUCUUGCAGGUGACUUUUCAGCUCAUAGUGGGUACAAUUCAAGGCUGUUAUACAUUUAAUUAAGUGGCUGUUCAAGUUAUUUUCAGUUACAAUUAAAUGGGCUGUUAUAAAGGAAACUGAUACGACCUCGGUUUAGUAGUUGAACCCGAGUCGUUUAGUUCCCGAUCGUAAACGAAGAAGUAUAUUAGACAAGAAGAAGAUAGAAUAUAUUUGAGUUCAAAGAAGUAAAGUAAGUUCGUGCAAAGUUGGAUAUGGAUUUGGUUUAAGUCGAAAUGGUAUGACUAGAAUGGUCGAGUUCGGUUUAGGAUUAAUUAAGAAAUGGUAUUUGGUUUUGGUACGUUUUGGUAUUUGGGAAUUGGUACGAAAUGGUAAUGGUUCAAAAAGGUCAAGAGUGAACCAACACUAAAGAAAAGUGUCGACCCGAAACUUAUAGGACCAAAUUGAGUUGGAAAUGGUUGAUAAGGACCUUGACCCGAUACUUAGUAAAGUAUGAACCAAAGGUAUCAAAGGUGAAUGCCACACUCGGGUUUAGGGAGUGAUAAGUUCGAAAGAAAGACUCGGAAAGACGCCACUAGAAGCUAGAUAAGUCUUACGGGUCCCGAACGAAAUUUGAAAGAAAAUGCCUCACAAAUUUGGUAGCAAUUCGUUACUUAAAAAUGUCAAAAGUCCCUUUUACAAAUGAACAAACAAAUAUUUAUAGUUCUUCAAAGGCUAGCUGAAUAGACAAACUUAAAAGCUAAGAAAAAUCAAGAAAAUUCCAGAAUUAAUUCCUCCAUAAGAUUCGGCUGAAUGGGCAUUCAAAUGGGCAGCUUAAGCAUGAAGCAAAUGCACCUUGCAAAGAUGAAUGCAUCGGUAGAUCAAUGGUCUUGUCCAGGUUCGGCCUUGCUCUUAAAUUACUCCUUAAAUUGGCACUUGUUGGCUGAAAAGAUAGGAACAUUAAAGAUAGUUGUUGAACAGCCACACAAGUGUGAAAAGAAUUAAAAGUCGGCUGAAUGGUCAACUUGGGAGUAGGAAACAAUAGCUUCUUUGGCCGAAUGGUCACCUAGGAUACUUCAAACAGCAGCCAAAUUUAAUUCCCCAAACAUGCAUGUGCCGUCCCCUUACAUGUAUCUUCUUUUAAUUCAUUCAUGCACCAAGGACAUCCAAAUGGGAUGUACCUACAGCAAAAUUUAUUCAAUAAAUCAAAUACAUUUUUAAACACAUUAAUUUGGCAGCAAAUGACACAAAAAUUAUGCACAUUAAAUUCGGCUACCUUAGGACAUAAUUAAAACAUGUAAUAAAAUUGACACAUUAAAACAUGCAUAAAAAACAUAUUAAUGAGCUGUAGAAAUUAAGACAAAUUAAUAACAUAUAAUUAUAACUCAAUUAUCAUGCAUAAUUAAAUUUGUCCAGAUUUUAAACCAAAUAAAUAAUGAAUAUUAAUUGAGCUGUAAUAAACUAAUUAAAUGACUCAAAUAAUUAUUUCAGCUACUAUAAUAAGGUCUUAAUGAAAUUGAGCUAGUUCGAGCUCAUUGAGCUUGAAAGGAGCUGGAAACGAGCUAAAUGAAGCUCCACAAAAUAAGAUUGAGCUACGUCCAGCUUGCAAACACGACGAGCCUCGCUUGUAGGCUGAAACAAUAGCCGUUCCCGGGGGCAGGUCGUAUCACCACAUAAACUGUUUAAGGCACGAAUAUAAAUUGAAAACAAAUUUGGAAAAUUUCGUUACCUUAUUCUCCAAAACAGAUUUGGACAAAUUCGAGGAUUUUAACAAGGUAAAUCAAGAGAAUAACAAAUCACGCUUCUUUUCGUAAUGACUUUAUCAACCACAAUCGAAUAGUAACAAUUAAUCGGAUCAAAAUGAGGGGAUCUUUUAAGAACUAAGUCACCAAAAGUUUUAUCAAUAAUUUUCAAAUCUGCACUGGACUCAGUUGCUAAAAAUUCCUUACCUCACUUACCUUCUUCAGGCUCAUGUAGUGUGAUUUCAUCUUCGACCUUUCCUAUGUUGAUCGUAUGAAAGCGUCUUUCAUCGAAAACGUAUUGAAGUUGAAAGUUAUCUUUCGGUCCUUCGGGAACCUGAAAAGUAGCAACACAAGAAAAAUUCAUAUCUUGGUUAGUGAAAACAUUCCUCACUAGCCUAAACCGUAUGCAAUUUUUUUUACGGAUCUUUCACGUUCUUUUCGUCCGCACCUAAACCGUAUGCAAUUUUUUUUUUGUAAUUUUUUUUUCAAAUUUUUUUUUCGAACUCCUUUGUUUUACGUACCUAUUUCAAAUUGACUUCGAGUGCUCGUACUUCUCGUUUUUACCAGCUCUGAUACCAAAUGAUACGACCUUGGUGUAGUAGUUGAACCCGAGUCGUUUAGUUCCCGAUCGUAAACGAAGAAGUAUAUUAGACAAGAAGAAGAUAGAAUAUAUUUGAGUUCAAAGAAGUAAAGUAAGUCCGUGCAAAGUUGGAUAUGGAUUUGGUUUAAGUCGAAAUGGUAUGACUAGAAUGGUCGAGUUCGGUUUAGGAUUAAUUAAGAAAUGGUAUUUGGUUUUGGUACGUUUUGGUAUUUGGGAAUUGGUACGAAAUGGUAAGGGCUUUGGUACGAAAUGGUAAUGGUUCAAAAAGGUCAAGAGUGAACCAACACUAAAGAAAAGUGUCGACCCGAAACUUAUAGGACCAAAUUGAGUUGGAAAUGGAUGAUAAGGACCUUGACCCGAUACUUAGUAAAGUAUGAACCAAAGGUAUCAAAGGUGAACGUCACACUCGGGUUUAGGGAGUGAUAAGUUCGAAAGAAAGACUCGGAAAGACGCCACUAGAAGCUAGAUAAGUCUUACGGGUCCCGAACGAAAUUUGAAAGAAAAUGCCUCACAAAUUUGGCAGCCAUUCGUUACUUAAAAAUGUCAAAAAGUCCCUUUUACAAAUGAACAAACAAAUAUUUAUAGUUCUUCAAAGGCUAGCCGAAUAGACAAACUUAAAAGCUAAGAAAAAUAAAGAAAAUUCCAGAAUUAAUUCCUCCAUAAGAUUCGGCUGAAUGGGCAUUCAAAUGGGCAGCUUAAGCAUGAAGCAAAUGCACCUUGCAAAGAUGAAUGCAUCGGUAGAUCAAUGGUCUUGUCCAGAUUCGGCCUUGCUCUUAAAUUACUCCUUAAAUUGGUACUUGUUGGCUGAAAAGAUAGGAACAUUAAAGAUAGUUGUUGAACAGCCACACAAGUGUGAAAAGAAUUAAAAGUCGGCUGAAUGGUCAACUUGGGAGUAGGAAACAAUAGCUUCUUUGGCCGAAUGGUCACCUAGGAUACUUCAAACAGCAGCCAAAUUUAAUUCCCCAAACAUGCAUGUGCCGUCCCAUUACAUUUAUCUUCUUUUAAUUCAUUCAUGCACCAAGGACGUCCAAAUGGGAUGUACCUACAGCAAAAUUUAUUCAAUAAAUCAAAUACAUUUUUAAACACAUUAAUUUGGCAGCAAAUGACACAAAAAUUAUGCACAUUAAAUUCGGCUACCUUAGGACAUAAUUAAAACAUGUAAUAAAAUUGACACAUUAAAACAUGCAUAAAAAACAUAUUAAUGAGCUGUAGAAAUUAAGACAAAUUAAUAACAUAUAAUUAUAACUCAAUUAUCAUGCAUAAUUAAAUUUGUCCAGAUUUUAAACCAAAUAAAUAAUGAAUAUUAAUUGAGCUGUAAUAAGCUAAUUAAAUGACUCAAAUAAUUAUUUCAGCUACUAUAAUAAGGUCUUAAUGAAAUUGAGCUAGUUCGAGCUCAUUGAGCUUGAAAGGAGCUGGAAACGAGCUAAAUGAAGCUCCACAAAAUAAGAUUGAGCUACGUCCAGCUUGCAAACACGACGAGCCUCGCUUGUAGGCUGAAACAAUAGCCGUUCCCGGGGGCGGGUCGUAUCAGAAACUUAAACAUCAUUAAAGGAGUGUUUAAAGAGCAUUUAUGACCUUUAAAAUUGGGCAGCAACCCUUCUUCUUCCAGCAGUUUUUUGGAGCUUUCAAGAGAAUUUAAUCAAGCCUUAAAAUGUCAUUAAGGAGCUGGUUAAAAGAUGGUGACUAUUCAGCUGGCCAAGGACAACUCAAGAGUCAUUUUUAAGCCAUUAAAGACAUUCAAAUCAGCUGAAUUGAAGUGAUUUUAUGGAAGGAGUUGUUUGGUUCAAGCAUAAGAAAUGAUGUGAUCCGGCCCGAUUGAUUGAGUCGGGUUCACUUAAGAUGCCCGAUCGUCAACGAGAAGCUCGUUCAAAUUUGUAGAUAGAUGGAGUUUGAAUGUUUUAUAAGCGGAAGGUAGGCAAAAUGGGUUCAAAGGAUGGGUUUUGGUUUGAUGAAAUAUAGGUUCGGUUUAACAAAGAAUUAAGUUACAUAGAUGAUAAAUAGAUGGAAAUGGAUAAAGAACUCAAACUUUAAGAAUGAUUCAAUACUAAAAAGUAUUGCCCCGAGUCUUAUAUUGCUUAAGGUGAAUUUUGAUGAAGGAUAGAAGCGGACCGUGACCCGUUACCUAUAUGGAGGUAAGAACCAAAGGUAUAGGAAGAUUGUUGAACGCCAUACCGAUUCGGUGAUAAGUUCAAUGGAGUUCGGAUUGACACCACUAGCAAGCUAGAUAAGUCGCUUCGAGACUCGAACGAAAGAAGAGAGGAGGUAACCUCACAAGAACAAAAGUUCUAUUAAGUUUAAUUGAUCAAAUUCUGUAACCUUUUACAAUAAACAAGUAAGCUAUUUAUAAGCCUAAAAUGCCUAUUGAUAUUCGGCAUCUAUGUUGUUCACACUAACUUAAAUUCUGUUCACACAGGUAUUUAACAUGUUCACACAAAUAGCAUUAAAAUCCAGUUCAUGCUUGAAUAUGGUACAUGAAUUGGCCGAACCAUCAUGAUGCUUCACUUGAUGCAUUCAUGCAUCCUUAGCCUUGAAGAAUCUCCAUAAUUCCAUGAAUGUGCAGCUCUUUAAUGAUCCUACAUCUCCCUUGGCUGAAUGAGGCAUUAAUGUGCCUAAAAUACUUGAAUGGUCAUCUUGAAAAUGCAUGAAUCAUGCAUGAAACGUCCCAUGUAUUUUCCCCCAUAAAUAUGAUCCAUGAAUCUUCAAAUACAUGAACUUUCAGCAACUCCCUCUUGCAUGAACGUCCCAAAUGCAUGUGCUCCUUUAAAUGCCAUCCAUUGAACCUCAAUUGUGCAUGGACACUCCCAUACAUUGCACCAAUCCGUUCAUGAACCUGCAGCAAAUUAAAUCAGCAAGUUAAAUGCAUUUCAAACACAUUAAAUUAGCAGCAUAUGAACUCAAUAAUUUGCACAUUAAAUUUGGCCAUACAUAUUAACAAUUUCAGACAUAUUUAAAACAUCAUAAUUUAUUAAGUAUUUAAUUUAGAUAUAAUUAAAACACUUAAUUAAUUAUUUGUCCAGAUUUUAACAAAUUAACUAACUUAAGAUAAACAACUAAUUUAACUAAUGACAAAUUAAAUGGUUUAUUUCAGCAAAAUAAAUGCCAGCUAAAGAAAGCUAAAAAUAAGCUCAUUGGGUUAAGAUUGAGAUGAAUUGAGCUUGAAUGAGUUGACUUGAGCUCGAGUGAGCUGGAAACGAGCUAAACGGAGCUUAACGAAAUGAAAUUGAACUAAUUCAGCUCGCAUGGAUUUGUAAACAAUGCUUAGGGAGCUGAUCCAAAAGUGUGCCCGGGGCAUGGUCGUAUCAAGAAAAGACAUGAGUUUUUAUGGCACAUUAAGUUGGAUGUUUUUUUUUGACCAUUCCGUUACCUUGUUCUAGCAUUAUAAAUAGUUGUAAUCAGCCUUAAAAAAGGGAAUUUUGCUGAAUAUAUAUAUGAAAACUGUGAAUUGUGAGCUAUCCAAUUCUUUUUGUUCUUACGGAAUUGAUUUGACUUAUCAAGCAUAGCUUGUGGCGUCCAUCUUUUAUUUGUUGCUGAAUUUAUCACCUUUGGUGUGACGUUCUGAUACGACCUCGGUUUAGUAGUUGAACCCGAGUCGUUUAGUUCCCGAUCGUAAACGAAGAAGUAUAUUAGACAAGAAGAAGAUAGAAUAUAUUUGAGUUCAAAGAAGUAAAGUAAGUCCGUGCAAAGUUGGAUAUGGAUUUGGUUUAAGUCGAAAUGGUAUGACUAGAAUGGUCGAGUUCGGUUUAGGAUUAAUUAAGAAAUGGUAUUUGGUUUUGGUACGUUUUGGUAUUUGGGAAUUGGUACGAAAUGGUAAUGGUUCAAAAAGGUCAAGAGUGAACCAACACUAAAGAAAAGUGUCGACCCGAAACUUAUAGGACCAAAUUGAGUUGGAAAUGGUUGAUAAGGACCUUGACCCGAUACUUAGUAAAGUAUGAACCAAAGGUAUCAAAGGUGAACGCCACACUCGGGUUUAGGGAGUGAUAAGUUCGAAAGAAAGACUCGGAAAGAUGCCACUAGAAGCUAGAUAAGUCUUACGGGUUUCGAACGAAAUUUGAGAGAAAAUGCCUCACAAAUUUGGUAGCAAUUCGUUACUUAAAAAUGUCAAAAGUCCUUUACAAAGUAAAAUUUUAGCUAUUUAUAAGCAACACCUAAGCUAGCCGAAUGGUCACUUACAUUCCUUAAAAAUUAAGCAAAUGAAUCACUUAAAUGAACUAGCUAGAUUCGGCUGAACAUGGAGCUCCAUUAGACACCUUCUAGAUGAAGCAUUGGACUUGGAAAAACUUGGAUGAUGCAUGGAUAGCUAGGUUCGACCAAUGGGCAUAAAUUAGCUCAUUUAUGUUGCAACUUUUGGCUGAAAAGUGACCAGCAAUUAAGAGGGUAAUGAGCAGCCAAUUCAAGUGUGAAAGCUCAACAUUGAAUAGUCAUGGAGUGUGAACACAUGGAACCGAAAAGCCAAUAUGCAUCCAGCAAAUGUGAAAGGAUUAAUUGACAGCUUUGGAGUUGGAAACAUUAGCUCUCUUGACUGAAUAGUCACCUAGGAAUGCCAAAUUCAGCUCACCAAUUUGAUGCAUGUAUCUCCAGGUUCAUUGAAUCUAUUGUGCAUGCACCAAGCUUAAAUGCUCCAUCCACAUUCGGCCAACCUACAUAAAACAUGAAUGAGCUCAAAUUGAUGUAAUAUUGGCUGAACAUAAUUAAAAUAAAACUUUGACAAGUUAAACACAUUAAUUCGGCACUGAAAAUCUGCACAUAUAAUUUAGUUUGGACAAAACACAUUAAAACAUGUAAUAAAAUUUGACUCAUUAAAAAUGCAUAAAACAUAUUAAUAAGCUGUAAAAAUUAAGACAAACUAAUGACAUGUAAAAAUAACUCAAUUAAGAUGCAAAAUUAAAUUUCUCCAGAUUUUAAAUUAUGCAAACAACUAAAAUUAAUUGAGCUGUAAUAAACUAAUUAAAUUGACUCAAAAUAAUUAUUUAGCUACUAAAUUAAUGUCCAAUUGAUAUUGAGCUGAAUCGUAAGUAUUUGAGCUGAAAUUGAGCUGAUUCGAGCUCAUUAAGCUUGAAAGGAGCUGGAAACGAGCUAAAUGAAGCUACACAAAAUAAGAUUGAGCUACGUCCAGCUUGCAAACACGACGAGCCUCGCUUGUAGGCUGAAACAAUAGCCGUUCCCGGGGGCGGGUCGUAUCAUCCCCUCCCUCUUUAAAGCGAUUUGUCCCCAAAUCGGGCCACUUGCUCGCGAAGAAACUUCUAUUAUCAAAGACUCCUUGGUUGUUGAAUUUGACAAACUUGUGCCCAACAACCUGAAAUUCAUGAAUAGAUUGAAAAAAACACUGAUUAGUUACUUGCCCUCCCUCUUUAAGGCAAAGCCUCUUCAAGGUGCCACCUACACAAUAACGAAAAUUAUGAAUGACACGAUGAACUAAAAACUUGCGAGCUCUUUCCAAAUUUUCAAUCACAAUUAGAGCAAAAGAACUAUUGCCGAAUUCAAAAAUAUAGAUAAGCCUUACCUUUCCACAUUGAUUUUCCAAAUUCAUCAAGGAUCUAGACAUGGGAAAUAAUUCUACCAAUAUGAACAAGUCAUUCGAAUAAACACAUAUCCCACAACGCACUUUAUCAAGUGGAUUUGAAGACUCAUGAAUCAAACAAUUAAAUCAAUUUGUCAAUCCUUCACCAAGGAAAAUCCCAUCCAAUGGACAAAGGGAAUUUAACGAAUAACCACAUGUCAACAAAAAGUCAUUUAAGCAAAUAUGUGGGAAAAAUAUUAAUCGGCCAAAAGAAACAAGAUCACUUAGUCGAAUCAAGUUUUGCAAAUGUAAAUUUAGCAGUGGCCAAUAGUAUUUCACUUCUUCAUCAAACUUGUCAGUUUCACGAUUGUCAUCACUUUUUGAACAAAAUAGAGAUGUUUUUAGUUCUUCAGAAACCAAACCUUGUCUAUCCUUGAGAUUAUUGAUUUGAGGAUCGAUUUUACCGUUUUCUUGCAAUAUGAACCUUCUCUCCUUAGGAAUAUAACAUAAUCGAAGCUGCUUGGUGGAAUUAACCUGAAAAGAAAAGUCAUGAAAAUAUCGGGUAAAUAAAACACUUUUCUUUUUAUCAUCCAUUGAUCCUUCACUCUCUUUUUCAUUGCUCUUGUUUUUCUCACAAUCUCGAUUCUUUUCUCUCAAUCUCUCUUCUUUCUUUUCUUUUGAAUCAUUUUUCUUUUCCUUUUCACUCUCUCUCAAUUUCUUUUUUAGUUCUUUCAAAUUCUCCAAAGAUUGCUUUAUUCGUUGUUGAUCUUCCAUCACUUGUGGUGGAGACAAUGGGGCCAAAGUGAUAUUUUUUCCUUUGUGCUUGAACGAAUAUUGGUUAGAAAACCCAUCGUGCUUGACUCGCCGAUCAAAUUGUCACGGCCUCCCAAGCAGUAAAUGGCCCGCAUGCAUGGGCACAACGUCGCACAAAAUCUCGUCUUGGUACUUUCCAAUUGAAAAGGGAAUCAAGGCUUGUUUGGUUACCUUAAGUUCGACUCCUUCAUUGAGCCAUUGUAACUUGUAGGGACUUGGGUGCUUAAGGGUUGGCAAGGACAACUUCUCGAUCAUAAGUGUGCUUGCAACAUUUGUGCAACUCCCGCCAUCGAUUACAACGCUACAAACCUUUCCAUGAACAUAACAUCGGGUAUGAAACAAAUUCUCGCGUUGUGGUUCACCCAUAGAGCUUUGCACACUAAGACUUCUUUUUACAACGAGCAUUUCACCUUCAACAGCAAAUUCUACUUCAUCUUCAUUUUCGGAUGGAUGUUGAACUUCUUCGUUUUUGUCUACUUCAUCCUCCGAUUCAAUCUCACCAUUGGGAAGCAUGAUCAUUGUGUUACGAUUUAGGCAUUGGCUUGCGAUGUGCCCUCUCCCUUGGCACUUAAAACACUUAAUAUCACGUGUUCGGGAUUGAGUAUUUUCAAUGGCCUUACCUUUGCUAGAUUCGGCCACAGACUUCUUGGACUUCAUGGGCACCACAGUUUCUUUUGAUUGAUUCGUUGAAACAUUCUUACUUGCCCCUUGGUUCCACUUAGAUGCAUUCGAAGAGGAAUAACCACGUACGGCUCCUUUCAUCUUGAGUUGUUUUUCGACCUUGAUCGCCAUGUGAACCAUAUCGACGAUCUCUACGUAGUGUUGCAACUCAACUAUGUUGGAAAUUUCAUGGUUAAGUCCGGCUAAGAAACGAGCCAUAGUUGCCUCUCGAUCUUCCUCCACAUCCGCUCGAAUCAUGGCCACUUCCAUCUCCUUGAAGUAAUCCUCCAUGCUUCUCGUCCCUUGUGUAAGAUUUUGAAGUUUUUGGUACAACUCCCGAUGGUAGUACGAAGGGAUGAAACGUCGUCGCAUUACAGCCUUCAUCUCGGACCAUGUUUGGAUAGGACGCUCGCCAUUUCGCCUUCGGCUAGUUGUAAGUUGGUCCCACCACACCAUUGCAUAGUCCGAAAAUUUGAUAGCAGCCAACUUAACUUUCUUGGCCUCAGAAUAGUUAUGGCAUUCAAAUAUAAGCUCGAUCUUUUUCUCCCACUUGAGAUAAGCUUCGGGAUCCGAUCGGCCUUGGAAUGAAGGGAUUGACAACUUAAUGCUUUUCAAGUCAUCAUCGAACCUCCCUCGAUUUCGUUGGCCUCGGUUGCGUUGGCCUCUUCGUUGAACAUUCGCAUUGGACCCUUGAUCACUUUCGUGUUCAAUCGACUCGAAAGAUUCAUCAUCUAAAUCAGAUUGCCGUCCUCGAUUUCUCGGAGGGCUUAAGGGAGUUCUCCUUCGUUGGGCUCUUCCUUCCACACGAUCAAGUCUAUCUUGAAUCGGUUCUAACUUUUGAUCGAACAAUCGUUCCACCUCGCGUAGCAAUGCUUGCAAAUUCAAGUCUGGCACAUUUCGAACAGGUUGCCUUUCUGCCAUGUUUAUUGUAGGGCUUCUUGAUAUAUGAAAUUAUAACCUCACAACAAAAACUCACAAGUCACUCAAAAAGAAAAUAAUUCGGCACUCCACUCGUGUUUACACUCUUUAAUGGCUUUUCUUUUCUCUAAUGCUCUCACAACACUCGUGCCUUUUUCCACUCAAUUUCCUCUCGUGAUUUCGUAAGCGACUCGUCGAGACCUUAUCGUAGUUCAAUGGGUCGGCUUCAAAUGGCUUUACAAGGGAUUGAUGUUAGGUUACGGGUAGGCUAAAAGAAACAAGAAAGGCUUUAGGCUAAGUGUGGCUUAGAAGAUGAAUAGAAGAGAAUGCCAAACUUACAAACUCGAAACACUUUUUUUUUAUAUCGAAUUUUUUUUAAUUGCGUGAAAUUUCACUACGGGGGAUAUAAAAGAGUGUAGAAUGAGAUUUUGGAAAAAUUUCUAUUGAAGUGUCUCCAGACUCUUUUUUUUUUUACGGAUCUUUCACGUUCUUUUCGUCCGCACCUAAACCGUAUGCAAUUUUUUUUUUAAUUUUUUCUUUCAAAUUUUUUUUUCGAACUCCUUUUUUUUACGUACCUAUUUCAAAUUGACUUUGAAUGCUCGUAAUUCUCGUUUUUACCAGCUCUGAUACCAAAUGAUACGACCUCGGUUUAGUAGUUGAACCCGAGUCGUUUAGUUCCCGAUCGUAAACGAAGAAGUAUAUUAGACAAGAAGAAGAUAGAAUAUAUUUGAGUUCAAAGAAGUAAAGUAAGUCCGUGCAAAGUUGGAUAUGGAUUUGGUUUAAGUCGAAAUGGUAUGACUAGAAUGGUCGAGUUCGGUUUAGGAUUAAUUAAGAAAUGGUAUUUGGUUUUGGUACGUUUUGGUAUUUGGGAAUUGGUACGAAAUGGUAAUGGUUCAAAAAGGUCAAGAGUGAACCAACACUAAAGAAAAGUGUCGACCCGAAACUUAUAGGAUCAAAUUGAGUUGGAAAUGGUUGAUAAAGACCUUGACCCGAUACUUAGUAAAGUAUGAACCAAAGGUAUCAAAGGUGAACGCCACACUCGGGUUUAGGGAGUGAUAAGUUCGAAAGAAAGACUCAAAAAGAUGCCACUAGAAGCUAGAUAAGUCUUACGGGUUUCGAACGAAAUUUGAGAGAAAAUGCCUCACAAAUUUGGCAGCAAUUCGUUACUUAAAAAUGUCAAAAGUCCUUUACAAAGUAAAAUUUCAGCUAUUUAUAAGCAACACCUAAGCUAGCCGAAUGGUCACUUACAUUCCUUAAAAAUUAAGCAAAUGAAUCACUUAAAUGAACUAGCUAGAUUCGGCUGAACAUGGAGCUCCAUUAGACACCUUCUAGAUGAAGCAUUGGACUUGGAAAAACUUGGAUGAUGCAUGGAUAGCUAGGUUCGGCCAAUGGGCAUAAAUUAGCUCAUUUAUGUUGCAACUUUUGGCUGAAAAGUGACCAGCAAUUAAGAGGGUAAUGAGCAGCCAAUUCAAGUGUGAAAGCUCAACAUUGAAGAGUCAUGGAGUGUGAACACAUGGAACCGAAAAGCCAAUAUGCAUCCAGCAAAUGUGAAAGGAUUAAUUGACAGCUUUGGAGUUGGAAACAUUAGCUCUCUUGACUGAAUAGUCACCUAGGAAUGCCAAAUUCAGCUCACCAAUUUGAUGCAUGUAUCUCCAGGUUCAUUGAAUCUAUUGUGCAUGCACCAAGCUUAAAUGCUCCAUCCACAUUCGGCCAACCUACAUAAAACAUGAAUGAGCUCAAAUUGAUGUAAUAUUGGCUGAACAUAAUUAAAAUAAAACUUUGACAAGUUAAACACAUUAAUUCGGCACUAAAAAUCUGCACAUAUAAUUUAGUUUGGACAAAACACAUUAAAACAUGUAAUAAAAUUUGACUCAUUAGAAAUGCAUAAAACAUAUUAAUAAGCUGUAAAAAUUAAGACAAACUAAUGACAUGUAAAAAUAACUCAAUUAAGAUGCAAAAUUAAAUUUCUCCAGAUUUUAAAUUAUGCAAACAACUAAAAUUAAUUGAGCUGUAAUAAACUAAUUAAAUUGACUCAAAAUAAUUAUUCAGCUACUAAAUUAAUGUCCAAUUGAUAUUGAGCUGAAUCGUAAGUAUUUGAGCUGAAAUUGAGCUGAUUCGAGCUCAUUGAGCUUGAAAGGAGCUGGAAACGAGCUAAAUGAAGCUCCACAAAAUAAGAUUGAGCUACGUCCAGCUUGCAAACAGGACGAGCCUCGCUUGUAGGCUGAAACAAUAGCCGUUCCCGGGGGCGGGUCGUAUCACGUUCAAUAUACCUUUGGUUCCUAUCAUAAUUGAUAGUGGGUCAAGGUUUUCUUGCUGUUUCUUAAAACAAAAAUCACCUAAGAACCAUUUUGAGAUUCGGGUCAACAAUUCCUUAUUGUUGGUUCAUUCUCGGUCUUAGUUAAAUUAUCCAUUAUUUUAUUUAGCCAUUCAUCCUACUUCUUUUGAUUGAAACCAUUUAACCUAUUUUGUUUCAUUUUUUUAAUCGAAACGAAUCCAUCCUUACUCAAUUCACGAUUGGGCAACACAUACGACUCAAAUCAUCACGAGACAAGUUCGUAUCAGGUACGGAUGGAAAUUGAAUCAAUUGAAAGGAAUACCCACGAGUUAGGAAAAAGUGUUUCAAACAAAUUUGUAAUUCACAUGUAGGCAUAACAAGACCAGUAAAUCGCAUACGAGUGGACAGGUUCAAAACAACAUGUUGACAAUCAUGCAAACAAAUUAAUUUACAUGCCAAUGCCUCAUCAAAUAUUCAAAAUAAAAAUGAACAUGUUCUAAGGCAUUUAAACGUCUCAAAUAGUGAUACGAGUCACAAAAGCCCAACUCAAGCUCAAAAACGUGAUGGAAUCAUUCAAGACUUCAUUAGCAAGACUAAAUGGAAUAAUUCAAGACUUCAUUACCACAAGGCCCAAUAACGAGGUCAAAGGCCAGACAAAUGCGUACGAAACUAAAUGGAAUCAUUCAAGACUUCAUUAGCAAGGCCUUAGAAGCGUAUACAAAGGAAAAAGAAAAUCAAGAAAUCGAAUCUUGGUCCAACCUUGCUGUUUUGAGCAAUUUGAAGAAUCAAGAAAAUCAAGAUUUCAAAUCUUGGAAAUCUUGCCCCAAGAAUCUGAAUCUUGUAGCUAAGGCCCAUUGGAUCUCAGUUACGAGCAUCAACGAACCAAUUUCGGGAGAUACGGAUUACAAGCCCAAAUGCUUGAAGAAACAACCCAAUAAGAUAUCUAAACCCAAUCAAGAAAUUUAAAUUAGACUUAGUUGAAAAUCAGGCCAAAUUGUCAAAGUGGCCCAAUUUGUAUCAGUUGCUAUUGAAUCCAUUAAGCUGCCACAAGGGCCUAUAACUAGGUCAUGAGCUAAAAACUUUAAAAAUGCUUUGGCAAGCUAUCUGGAUCGAGUUUGGGAGGAACAAGAAGCCGAAUCUAUUCAUCAUGAGUUUAGUUCAUUUAUUUAAGUUAAGUAUUUAUUUUUUAUAUGCUUAAUUAGUGGAUACGAGUCACAAAGGCCCAACUCAAGCUCAAGAACGUGAUGGGCUCAAAUUACCACAAGGCCCAAUACGAGGUCAAAGGCCAGGCAAAUGCGUAUGAAACUAAAUGGAACCAUUCAAGACUUCAUUAGCAAAGCCUUAGACGCGUAUAAAAAGGAAAAAGAAAAUCAAGAAACCAAAUAUUGGUCCAAUUUUGCUCAACAACAUUAAAUGAUCAUGUUUUCCAUGUUAGAACGGUUUUAGACAUUCUAAGAGCUGAAAAAUUGUUUGCCAACCUCGAUAAAUGCACAUUUUUUUGUGAUAAGCUAAUAUUUUUAGGUUUCAUAAUUAGUGCUCAAGGUAUUCAUGUCGAUGAGGACAAAGUUAAGGCAAUCAAGGAGUGGCCAAUUCCUAAAUCGAUAAUUGAGGUGAGAUCUUUCCAUGGUUUAGCUAGUUUUUAUAUACGAUUUGUGAAAGAUUUCACCACUAUUGCUGAGUUGGUGAAAUCCUUACACGAGAAGGCUAGGCAGCGAAUAGCCAAAACAAAUGACAUCAACACCAACAAAGCAAACAAGAGGCGCAACCGGGUUGUCUUUGAACCCAGAGAUUGGGUUUGGGUCCAUAUGAGGAAAGAACGAUUUACUAUAGAAAGAAAGACCAAGUUGGACCCAAGAGGCGAUGGACUUUUCCAAGUACUCAAGCGAAUCAAUGAUAAUGCAUACAAAAUUGACCUACUCGGUGAGUACAAUGUAAGUUCUACUUUCAAUGUGGCGGACUUAUCUCCAUUUGAUUUUUCAGAUUCGAGAACGAAUCUUUUUGAGGAAGGGGGGAAUGAUACGAGUCAUAAAGGCCCAACUCAAGCUCAAGAACGUGAUGGGCUCAAAUUACCACAAUGCCCAAUAACGAGGUCAAAGGCCAGGCAAAUAAUAAUGAAACUAAAUAGAACCGUUCAAGACUUCAUUAGCAAAGCCUUAGACGCGUAUACAAAAGAAAAAGAAAAUCAAGAUUCACUUUCUUGUUUUUAAGAAAAUUAAGAAACUUAAUCUUGGUCCAAUUUUGCUGUUUUGAGCGAUUUCAAGAAUCAAGAAAAUCAAGAUUUCAAAUCUUGGAAAUCUUGGUCCAAGAAACUGAAUCUUGCAGUUAAGGCCCAUUGGAUCUCAGUUACGAGCAUCAACGAACCAAUUUUAGGAGAGAAUAGAUUACAAGCCCAAGUUAUUGAAGAUACGGCACUUAGUUGAAAAUCAGGCCAAAUUGUCAAAGUGGCCCAAUUUGUAAAAUUUUGAUUGUUUAAAUACCUAGUUUAAUUUUUAGACUUUGGGAUUAUUAUAUAUGUAAAAAUUUGGCCCAAGCAGCCCAUUAAGUGCCUUGGCCGAAUUUGCCCUCUCAAUUUAUUAAUUAGGGUUUUUUAUAGUUUUCCUAAUGAGAUUUGGAAAAUAGUUAGAAGGCUUAUUAAUAGGCAUGGCUGGCCACAUUGUCAAACACAUUAAAAUUACAUUGAAAAUUUCAGAUUUGCUUUGACUGAAAAUUUUCUUUGAGUUCUUCAAGAAUUUUCUCUUGAGUUUUCUUUAGAAGUAGUUUUAACAAUCUUUUUGAUUGUGAGAGCCAUCUUCAGCCUUCUUCUUGCCAUUGAUCUUCAUUGAAGGGGAGAUUAGAGCCGUUUUGAUACGAGUCACAAAGGCCCAACCCAAGCUUAAGAAGGUGAUGGGCUCAAAUCAAGAAGAUCAAGAUUCACUUUCUUGUUUUCAAGAAAAUCAAGAAAUCGAAUCUUGGCCACAUUUUGCUGUUCGGAGCGAUUUCAAGAAUCAAGAAAAUCAAGAUUUCAAAUCUUGGAAAUCUUGGUCCAAGAAACCGAAUCUUGCAGCCAAAGCGCGUUGGAUCUCCGUUACGAGCGUCAACGACCCAAUUUCGGUAGGAGAUGGAUCACAAGCCCAAAUUCUUAAAGGCGAGGCCCAAUAAGUAAAUUCCCAGCCCAAUCAAGAAAUCCACACAUAUUUAGUUGAAAAUCAGGCCAAAAUGUCAAAGGGCCCAAUUUGUAAACAUUUUAGUUGUUUAAGUUAAUUUUUAAGUUUUAGGAAUAUCACAUGUGUAAUUCGGCCCAAAACAGCCCAAUAAGAUGCAUGGCUGAAUUUUCCUUUGUUUUUUUUAAUUAAGUUUAAAUUUUUUAAGUUAAUUUUUAAGUUUUAGGAAUAUCACAUGUGAUAGCCCAAAAUUGACCCUAGUCGGGACGUGGUUUUGGGACUGCUAAACCGAGUCACCGAAAUGUUUGAAUGUGAUAUUUAUUGUCUAGAAUAUGUAAUUAUGAAUGUGUGAAAAUUUCAAGCUUCGAUUUAGUCGAUUGCAUGUGAAUUUAGUCAAUAAGACUUAUGUGAGAAAAUUUUGAAAUGUGAUAGGUCAAAGCAUAAGGGCCUAUUAGUGCAUGUUGAAAAAGGGGGGACUUGCAUGUCAAUUUCCCCCCUACUAGUAGUGGCUGGCCAUGACAAGCAUGGUAGACCAAGUGUGAUAGGCAAGACAUGUCAUAGACAUGUCUUGUUGUUGCAUCAUGGGUGGAAAAAAAAUAAAAUAUUGAGCAUGGAAGUUAAAUAAUGAAAGGGAAUAUGAUGAAAACAAAAAAAGUGUGUGGUUAUUUCUCCCCCCCCCAUUUUGCAGAAACUAGAAAGAAAAAACAAAAAAAAAAGUGCUCAUCCUUUGGUUCAUCCUUGGCCAAAAAUUUUAAGGAGGAAGGGAGAAGAAAGGUUGAAGAGGUUCGGCCAUGCAUGUAGCUAGGCUAAGGUAUGUUUGAUGAUGUUCCAUGAGAUGCAUGCAUGUUUUAGUUGUUAGCUUGAGUUCUACCUAGCCCAUGGUCUAAAUCUUGCUAUGUGAUGGAAAUGACACUCGGCCAUGGAUGCAUCAUUCUUGGUUGAUGUUUGAUGUUGUGGUGAUGAGGCAUGAAGAUGAGUUAAGAUUCGGCCUAGGUGGAUUUUGUGUUAAUGCCAUUGCAUGCUAAAUAUGAAGCUUGUUAAUGAUGCAUGUGAUGGUGGAUUGAUGAUUCUUGAAUCUCCUUUUUAGCAUUUUUGAGUGAGCACAUAUGUACAUUGGUUGCUAGAUGAGGAAGAAUCGGCUAGCAAGUUGUGUGCUAAGGCCGAAUAUAACUUUUGUAUGUUAAUGAGCAAUGCAUGUGUUAAAUUGAUGGAAAGGGAGAGGAUGCUUUACUAGUGUAUAUAUGUGUGUAUUAGCCAAGUUUUGAACUUGAAACAAAAGGGUGUUUAGUCAAUACAAGUGACCAUACUUGUAGAAUGUAUUAAGUGUUGAAAUCAGCCCCAAAAUAGACAUGCAUAUUUGGCCAAGGGGGAAAAAAAUUAGCUAAAAUGUUGAGUUUGAUUCAUGAUUCUGUACAUAUGUGACUUUAAUGUCUAAUGUAUAAAUAUGGGCUAAGUGCCUUGUGUUCCUCUUUUCGAUGCUCAAAUGAUUAAAUCAAUUUAUUUGUUUAAUUAAGAUCAAGAGCAAAGGGGAAAUAAAUCCGACAAAUGGAAGGAAAAAGUGGUCGAAUAGCUAUCGGAAUCGUUCGACAACACCCGAGGUAAGUUCUUGAGUAAGAGAGCUUAAAUUAAGAUUUGAUUAGAUCAUGUUUUAAGCAAAUCAAAAUCAUGCUCUUUGUGUGUGGCUAUUGAGAUCGGGCUAUUAUCAGUUGCGAAUUCGAGAUUCGGACAUACCCAAAACUGCCUUCAGGAUGAGAUAUGGUCACUACGAGUUCUUAGUGAUGCCGUUUGGGCUCACUAAUGCCCCUGCGGUAUUUAUGGAUUUGAUGAAUCAGAUCUUCAGACCAUAUUUGGAUCGGUUCGUAGUUGUGUUCAUUGAUGACAUCUUGGUCUAUUCAAGAGAUGAGACCGAACAUGCUGAGCACCUGAGACUAGUGUUGCAAAUUUUGCGGGAGAAGCAGUUAUAUGCUAGGUUAAGUAAGUGUGAGUUCUGGUUAAGAGAGGUUAGCUUCUUGGGUCAUGUGGUAUCCGCAUCGGGUAUUCGAGUUAACCCGAGCAAAAUUUCAGCCAUACUUAACUGGAAGCCUCCAAGAAAUAUUACCGAAGUUCGGAGCUUCCUGGGGCUCGCCGGUUAUUACCGACGAUUUGUAAAAGGUUUCUCGAUGAUAGCCACACCAAUGACGAAGCUACUUCAAAAGGAUGUUAAGUUCGAAUGGACGGAGAAAUGUCAGAAAAGUUUUGAUCAACUAAAAACUUAUUUGACUGAAGCUCCAAUUUUAGUGCAACCCGAAUCAGGCAAAGAGUUCGUCAUUUAUAGUGACGCAUCCCUACUUGGGUUGGGUUACGUAUUGAUGCAAGAAGGUCGAGUGGUGGCCUAUGCGUCGAGACAAUUAAAGCCACAUGAGAAAAAUUAUCCGACUCAUGAUCUUGAACUAGCUGCCAUCGUAUUUGCUUUAAAAAUAUGGCGACAUUACUUAUUUGGUGAAAAGUGCCAUGUAUUUUCGGAUCACAAAAGUCUCAAAUAUUUGAUGACUCAAAGAGACUUAAAUCUGCGACAAAGACGUUGGCUUGAGUUGUUGAAAGAUUACGAGCUUGUCAUUGAUUACCACCCGGGAAAGGCUAAUGUGGUUGCGGACGCCUUAAGCCAGAAAUCAUUGUUUGCUUUAGGAGCGAUGAAUGUGCACUUGUCUGUUCUACCUGAAAAUGUGUUAGUAGCUAAAUUAAAAGCCAAACCAUUAUUGAUUCAUCAAAUUCGUGAAGCCCAGAAAGUUGAUGAUGAGUUGGUUGCAAAACGGGCUGAGUGUGUUCCGAACAAGGAAUCGGAGUUUCAAAUUGAUGAUGAUGAUUGUUUGAGGUUCAGAAGUCGUUUGUGUGUUCCAAGGAAUUCGGAACUCAUUUCGAUGAUUCUGAACGAAGCCCAUUGUAGCCGAAUGUCUAUUCACCCGGGGAGUACGAAAAUGUACAACGAUUUGAAACGUUGGUUUUGGUGGCAUGGUAUGAAACGAGACAUCUCCGACUUUGUUUCGAGAUGUUUAAUAUGUCAACAAGUGAAAGCGGAACAUCAAGUGCCUUCAGGAUUACUUCAGCCGAUCAUGAUACCCGAGUGGAAAUGGGAUCGAGUCACAAUGGACUUUGUGUCCGGACUGCCAUUGUCAGCAAGUAAGAAGGAUGCGAUUUGGGUUGUUGUUGAUAGACUGACUAAGUCGGCUCACUUUAUCCCCGUGCGUACGGAUUUUUCAUUGGAUAAACUAGCUGAAUUGUAUGUUUCUCAAAUUGUGAGAUUACACGGGGUACCUAUUUCUAUCGUGUCGGAUAGAGAUCCGAGAUUCACCUCGCGAUUUUGGAGGAAAUUGCAAGAAGCUUUGGGUACCAAGCUGCAUUUUAGCACUGCUUUUCAUCCCCAAACCGAUGGUCAAUCUGAGCGGAUAAUUCAGAUACUUGAGGAUAUGUUGAGAUGUUUCAUCCUCGAGUUCAGUAAUUCAUGGGAACGGUAUUUACCUUUGAUUGAAUUCGCUUACAACAAUAGUUUUCAAUCAAGUAUUAAGAUGGCACCUUACGAGGCUUUGUACGGUCGUAAAUGCCGUACACCAUUGUUUUGGACCGAGCUCGGUGAAAGUAAAAUUUUCGGAGUUGAUUUGAUUAAAGAUGCCGAACAGAAAGUAAAGGUAAUCCGUGAAAGUCUGAAAGCAGCCACAGAUCGUCAAAAAUCGUAUGCGAAUUUGAAACGAAAAGACAUUGAAUAUCAGGUGGGAGAUAAAGUGUUUCUUAAAGUUUCGCCUUGGAAAAAGGUACUCAGAUUUGGCCGUAAGGGCAAGUUGAGCCCGAGAUUCAUUGGGCCGUACGAAAUCUCCGAACGAGUUGGUCCGGUUGCGUAUAGAUUGAUUUUGCCCCCUGAACUUGAAAAGAUUCACGAUGUCUUUCAUGUUUCGAUGCUUCGACGUUAUAGAUCCGAUCCGUCACAUGUGAUUAAUCCCUCAGAAGUUGAAAUUCAAUCUGACUUGAGUUAUGAAGAAGAACCGAUGCGUAUCCUAGCUCGUGAAGUGAAGGAGUUGCGAAACAAAAGGGUUCCGUUAGUGAAGGUGUUAUGGCUCAAACACGGGAUCGAGGAAGCUACUUGGGAAACCGAGAGCUCGAUGAAAGAACGAUACCCAAACCUAUUUACCGGUAAGAUUUUCGGGGACGAAAAUUUCUUAAGUGGGGGAGAGUUGUGACAGUCCAAAAUUGACCCUAGUCAGGAAGUGGUUUCAGGACCGCUAAACCGAGUCACCAAAAUGUUUGAAUGUGAUAUUUAUUGUCUAGAAUAUGUAAUUAUGAAUGUGUGAAAAUUUCAAGCUUCGAUUUAGUCGAUUGCAUGUGAAUUUAGUCAAUAGGACUUAUGUGAGAAAAUUUUGAAAUGUGAUAGGUCAAAGCAUAAGGGCCUAUUAGUGCAUGUUGAAAAAGGGGGACUUGCAUGUCAAUUUCCCCCCUACUAGUAGUGGCCGGCCAUGACAAGCAUGGUAGACCAAGUGUGAUGGGCAAGACAUGUCAUAGACAUGUCUUGUUGGUGCAUCAUGGGUGGAAAAAAAAAUAAAAUAAUGAGCAUGGAAAUUAAAUAAUGAAAGGGAAUAUUAUGAAAACAAAAAAAGUGUGUGGUUGUUUCUCCCCCCCCCCAUUUUGCCGAAACUAGAAAGAAAAAACAAAAAAAAAAGUGCUCAUCCUUUGGUUCAUCCUUGGCCAAAAAUUUUAAGGAGGAAGGGAGAAGAAAGGUUGAAGAGGUUCGGCCAUGCAUGUAGCUAGGCUAAGGUAUGUUUGAUGAUGUUCCAUGAGAUGCAUGCAUGUUUUAGUUGUUAGCUUGAGUUCUACCUAGCCCAUGGUCUAAAUCUUGCUAUGUGAUGGAAAUGACACUCGGCCAUGGAUGCAUCAUUCUUGGUUGAUGUUUGAUGUUGUGGUGAUGAGGCAUGAAGAUGAGUUAAGAUUCGGCCUAGGUGGAUUUUGUGUUAAUGCCAUUGCAUGCUAAAUAUGAAGCUUGUUAAUGAUGCAUGUGAUGGUGGAUUGAUGAUUCUUGAAUCUCCUUUUUAGCAUUUUUGAGUGAGCACAUAUGUGCAUUGGUUGCUAGAUGGGGAAGAAUCGGCUAGCAAGUUGUGUGCUAAGGCCGAAUAUAACUUUUGUAUGUUAAUGAGCAAUGCAUGUGUUAAAUUGAUGGAAAGGGAGAGGAUGCUUUACUAGUGUAUAUAUGUGUGUAUUAGCCAAGUUUUGAACUUGAAACAAAAGGGUGUUUAGUCAAUACAAGUGACCAUACUUGUAGAAUGUAUUAAGUGUUGAAAUCGGCCCCAAAAUAGACAUGCAUAUUCGGCCAAGGGGGAAAAAAAUUAGCUAAAAUGUUGAGUUUGAUUCAUGAUUCCGUACAUAUGUGACUUUAAUGUCUAAUGUAUAAAUAUGGGCUAAGUGCCUUGUGUUCCUCUUUUCGAUGCUCAAAUGAUUAAAUCAAUUUAUUUGUUUAAUUAAGCUCAAGAGCAAAGGGGAAAUAAAUCCGAUAAAGGGAAGGAAAAAGUGGUCGAAUAGCUAUCGGAAUCGUUCGACAACACCCGAGGUAAGUUCUUGAGUAAGAGAGCUUAAAUUAAGAUUUGAUUAGAUCAUGUUUUAAGCAAAUCAAAAUCAUGCUCUUUGUGUGUGGCCAUUGAGCCGAAAUUACAAGAAUGAUAAGUGUUUUGUGUUUGAGUUUUGCUAACGAAAAUGAAAUACGAAUGUGCCAUGAUUUAUUGUUAAAUGUGCAUGGUUAUUUGAAUGAUGUCCGGGCUAAGUCCCGAAGGCUUUGUGCUAAGUGACCAUAUCCGGACUAAGAUCCGAAGGCAUUUGUGCGAGAUACUAAAUCCGGACUAAGAUCCGAAGGCAUUUGUGCGAGUUACUAAAUCCGGGUUAAGUCCCGAAGGCAUUUGUGCGAAUUACUAUAACCGGGCUAUGUCCCGAAGGCAUUUGAACGAGGAGCUAUAUCCGAUUAAAUUCCGAAGGUACGUGAUUUGGGAAUGAAUGAUCUUGCUGUAAAAAUUUCAGUUAAUACUCUAGAAACAUCCCAACAUUGAGGUAUGUUUCGUAUGUGCUUGAAUUUAGUUGAGCCCUUACAAAUAAGUAUUCGCUCAGUUGAUAAACGAGCUACCGACCUUUGGCUAAGUUGAUCUUUUGUGUAUGUACAUAAGGGUUGGUAAUGUGAAGCAAGUAUGAUAUCGAAAAUUUGUGCAUAUGAAAUUAUCCGUUUAGCUAUAUGAAUGCUAUACUUUUGUUGUGCUGGAAUUCCUUGCUCAAACUUACUAAGCAUAAAUUGCUUACUCCGUUUCAUUGCUCCUCUAUUUUAUAGAUUUGGUUCUCCAGCUAUCGGACUCGGGAUCUUGAAGUCAAAGUCGCCCACACUAUCAAAGCCCCCCUUUUGGUACAAUUUUGGUUGAACUUCGAAAUGGCAUGUAUAGGACUACCCGUUUGUUGUGGGUCGUGGACCCUUUGGACUUGUAUAAUUUUGGAUAGCCAUGCGAAAAUGGCUUAUAUGUGUUUGAGUAUAAUGUUAUAAUCAUUUGGUGUGCAUAUGCUUGACAAGGAUUGGCCAUGGGAAUGGUUAAUCACUAUCAUAAAUUGUGCUAUUUAUGCAAAAAGGGCUAGUUGAAUUAUGGAAACUAUGAAAUAGGUAAAGUCUACCUUAAAGGCAGAUGCUGACAGCAGCAGUGAUGUAGAUUUGGAAAAUCACUAAAAAUAGUAGGAAUGAAAUUAAAUAGUUAAUAAAUUAUUUAAACGAACCUUGAUGAAUCUAUUUUCAUAGGAAAGUAACGAAACAAUCAUACGGACAGUAUGUUAAGAGAUAUUCAGGUUCUUGUGAGACAGGGCCAGAACGGUUUCUGGAUUUCCUGUUCCGACUUUGGAAAUUCAUUAAAAAUUAACCAGAGACAAUUAGGAGUCAAGCCAUAUAUGUAUAGAUUACUCUCUGAGUCUAGUUUCUAUAGAAACAAACGCCAUCAGUAUUGAAGCCCUGUACAGGGAGAUAUCCAAGUCGUAAUGCGCAAAGGUCAGUGUAGUCGAUCCCUGUAACAUGGGAGACUUUGACUAAUAAAAUGUACUAAUUGGCCCAACCAAAAAUUCUAGAAAAAAAUAUGCAGAUGGACAUAUGAGUAUAGUUUCAGGGAAAAUUUAUGGAACUAGAUUUCGAGUUUCAGAACUAAAGAUAUGAUUUUUUAAGCGACUAGUACGCAGACUGGCAGCUUGUCUGAGAAUUUUUUUUAAGUGGUUUGAAGUCUGUUAACACCUCGUGUUCGACUCCGGCGAUGGCCUCGGGUUCGGGGUGUUACAUCACAUGUUAAAUUCGGCCCAAAACAGCCCAAUAAGAUGCAUGGCCGAAUUUUCCUUUGUUUUUUUAAUUAAGUUUAAAUUUUUUAAGUUUUCUAAUUAGAUUAGGAUUUGUUGGAGGCCUAUAUAAGCAUUGGCCAGCCACCCUUUGUAAACAUCUUAUUAUUAUUUUUUCUAUCAAAUUUCAGAUUUGUUGAGUGCAGAAUUUUCUUUGGGGUUUUCUCCAAGAAUUCUCUCGAGUUUUCUUUAGAAGUUGUUUUAACAAUCUUUUGAUUGUGGGAGCCAUCUUCAACCUUCUUCUUGCCAUCGAUAUUCUUUGGAGGGGAGAUUAGAGCCGUUUGAAGAGAUUUGUGAAAUCUUUCGGGAUUUAUUUGUUUCUUGCUUCUCCUUUAAUUGAAUUUGGGGAUUUAAAUUCAAAUCUGAUUCGGUUUAAUCUUAAUCUUUGUUUUUGAUUUCAGAUCUGUUCGUCUAGGAUCUUUCGUAGGAGUUUCUCGUGACUUGGCAACUCGAUCUUGGUCCGUGCGCAACCCCGUAUCAUUUGGUAUCAGAUUUUGGGCGUUUUGGGUGUUCUUGGUUGAUUUCUAAACUGAUCUCUAUUUUUUAAAGCAUAAACAGCAGUUUUACCCAGAAAAAUUGUUCAAAAAAAUUCAUUUGAGUGGGUAAACGUUGUCCGAUUGAUCUGAAAUUUUACAUACAUGUUUUUGGAACUAUGAUUGAAUAUAAAAAAAUUAUUCCCGCAAAAAAAUCAGUCAAAAAAUUCAAAAAAAUCAAAAAAUACGAAAUUCAAUAAAAAUUUAAAAAAAGAUUCAGCAGGUUGAAUUUGGUGCCCAAAAUUUCCAGAUAAAAAAUUCAAUAUGUAAGGACAUUCCAGAUUUAAUUUUGUGAUUUUUAGAGAUCGGGAACACCUCGAACGAAGUUGUCAAGUUACUUUUCUUUGCUUAUACUUGUGCCGGUUUCUCAUCUAAUAUUUUGUUGUUCUUGUUUGUUUUCCAGCAUUGAUUAAACUCAAGAUCUCAUCGUUUAAGUUGUUCUCCUAUUGGCAGCACCCAUUCGAACCCAAAAAUCCCCAAUUCCUAGGGUUUGGCCGAUUGGAUUUCUUUCAAUUUGGGAAUCAAUUGAUUGCUGGAAAUUGGGCAUUCUUGGCCGAAUCAAUUUGUUGACCGAUUUGCAAUCUUUCUAUACUUCCAAUUUCGUUUGAUUCAUCUAUUCUAUUUCUUUGUUUCUUGCUGCUCCUUUAAUUGAAUUUCGGGAUUUAAAUUCAAAUCUGAUUCGGUUUAAUCUUAAUCUUUGUUUUUGAUUUCAGAUCUGUUCGUCUAGGAUCUUUCGUAGGAGUUUCUCGUGACUUGGCAACUCGAUCUUGGUCCGCGCGCAACCCCGUAUCACGUUUGAAGGGAGUUGUGAAAUCUUUAUCGAUUUCAAGGCUUCUUAGGACUUUUCUUUAUUCUUUUGCUGUUCAUUCUUCUUUAUUGAAUUGUGCUUGUGCCGUUUGGUUGAAUAAUUUGGGAUUAAUUGUUCUUGUUUCGUUUCAGCCAUUCCAAACUUCAAGAUCUGAUUUGGCACUUCCUUGGACAUAAAGAAACACUUUUGAUUCACAAAAAUCCCCCUUUUCUUGCCGUCCAAUCCCUAGAACUAGUGUCCAUUGAUUUCGUAAUCUGUUUUUAAUUUAGUUGUUGUUUUGUGUUCUUUGAUAGUUUCGGCUUAUUGGAAGUUAAUCUUGGGGCUUAAUUUCGUGUUCUUGGCUUCCAAGAACAUCUAUUGUUAAGUGUUUUGAUUCUUGGUUGUUCUUUAUUGUUUUGGGGAUUUUUAGUUUCCAGAUCUAAUUGAUUCUAAUUAAGUUUUGUUGUUUCAUUUCAGAUCCAAACGUUUAGAGUUUUAAUAGGAGUUUCCCGUGACUUGACAACUUGAUCUUGGUCCGCGCUCAACCCUCUAUCAUUUGGUAUCAUCUUUUGGGCGUUUUGGGUGCUCUUGGUUGAUUUCUAAACUGAUCUCUUUUUUUAAACAACAAACAGCAGUUUUACCCAGAAAAUUUUUUGGAAAAAAUUCAUUCGAGUGGGUAAAUAUUUUCCGAUUGAUCUAAAAUCUUACAUGCAUUUUUUUGGCACUGUGAUUGAAUAUAAAAAAAAUAUUUCCCGCAAAAAAUUGAAAAAGAAAAAAUCCAAUAAAAUAUUAAAAAAAAUAUUCAGCGGGUUGAGUUUGGUGCCCAAACUUUCCAGAUCAAAAAUUCAAUAUUUAAUGACAUUCCAGAUUUAAUUUCGUGAUUUUUGGAGAUCAGGAACACCUCGAACAAAGUUGUCAAGUUACUCCGCAGUUUUUCAGGUUUUUUGGAUUUCAGCAAUUUUUAUUGAUUCUUAGCUGUAGGUUUUCAUUUGUUUUGCCUUUAUUCUCCCUUUACACUGUCUAACACCUUCUUGUUUCUUGUGUUAGUAGGAUUUUAAGGUGUGCACAAUUCUUCCUCGGUGCGACACAAAUCAAUUGGUGUCUCGUCAAUUUUGGCAUCCUAGUGCAAAUUAGGAUUCUUUGGUAGUUUCGGUUCAUACACUUUCUAAUUCAUUGAUAUAGACUCUACUAAAGAAUUCACAAGACUGAAUUCUAUUUCUUUAAGAAUUUGAUUUUUUUCUUUUUGAGUGAUUAACAGUGAGGUUUGCUAAUUUUACUUUUUGAGUGUUGAGUGUUUGUUUUGUAGGUUUUUGAAAAAAGGAAAAAAAUGUUGAGAGUUGGUCAAGUUGAUGAUGACCAUAAUGAUGUCCAUGAUAAAUUUAAAAAUAUCCAACAACAGUUAGACGAACGGGCUGCCUUACUUCGAACAUUGAGUGCUACUAUCAAUGAGCUGAAUUGAAUUUAAACCAAGCUCAAACGAGCUGAAUUAAGCUCAUGUGAGCUAAAAUAAAAUUCGGUGAGCUGAACCAAGUUAAAUGGAGCUUGAGGAGCUGAAUUCAAGCUGAAAUCAAGGGCAUCCCUGGCCAGGGUCGUAUCAUUCCCCCCUUCUUUAGAACGACUUGUCCUCAAGUCGAGCCGUUGGUUCACUCGAUCAUAGCUCCGCUUACUCAUCUUUCCUCGAUCAAACGAAAUCGAACACAAAUAAAAUAAACCACCAAACUGUUUUGUUACAUCUUCACCAUACAAAGUCUCAUCAAACGAAGGAAUUAUUUUAAAUGAGUAAUCACAAAUCAUCAAGAAUUCAUUUGAGCAAAUAUGUGGCCCAAGUACCAUUUGGGUAGAACAUUCAUAAUCCUUGCAAGAAGGUAUUUUCCAAAUUUCAUACCCACAAUCGAUUGAACAAAGCUUUUUGCAAGUUAUGAUUUUACCACUUAAUCGGCUUAAAUCUUGCAUAGUUAAGCUUAACAGUGGCCAUUGAUCUUUCACCUUUUCAACAAACUUGUCAUCAAGGAGAAUCUUACCAAAAUUUUUCAAGAGACAUGUGGACACAUUCAACUUAAUCCGUUCAUUGAUCAAGCAGAUAAACUCCUCACCACAACUUAUUGAACACAAAUUUUUAUCACAAACAGAUGAAUGCACAGUAAAACCUUGUAAUGGAAAUUGAACGAUUGGUUCUUCCAAAAUCGCAUCAUCAGCAUCACUAAAAACAGAUGAUUCAUUUUUAAAUAAAGCUGAACAGUUAAACACAUCACAAUUUAAAUACCUUGCAACAACCAAUUCUUCAACAAAAAUUUUAUUACCAACCGAAUAGGGCAGAGAAAUUUUAAAGUUAUCGUAAGUCAUACCUUGUUUACCUCGAGGGAUGGAAAAGCAAGGAUCAUUUUUACCUUUGUCGAUCAUCAUAAAUCUUCUCUCCUCGGAAAUGUAGUCUAGUCGAAUCUCUGUGGCUAAAUUAACCUUAACGAAAUGAAAUACGAACUUCAAAUACAACCACAAAAAUGGAUUAAGGAAUGAAUUUAAAUUGAAAUCAAAUUUUUCAUACCUCAGUUCCUUAUUCAACACCCAAUUAUCAAAACAAUAGAAAUUGUUCACACAAAAUUGAUGAAGCUUGACUUUCCCAUAAAACGAACCAAAAUAGAUUCCGGGUUUAAAAACUUGAUUUUGAGUAUUCAUGCCAAAAUGUAGCAAAAAUUUCAUUAAACCAAACACGUUAAACCAAUGGGAUUUUUUCAUACACAGGGACAAACAAUUAAAACUUUUUACAUUCAUCAAUUCAUACUUGCACAAAUUCAUGGAUUUUCCACAAAGCGUUAAUUGGUGCACAAAAUUGUCACAAAUGAAAAAUUUAAUCGCCUUUCGUGAAAAACCGUCAUCACGCAAAAUUAAAUCUUUGGUUUGUUGAUUGGAACAAAAAUCAACCACAUUCAGGGAGUAGCAAUUAAUCAGACCAAAAUAAGGAGAGCGUUUAGAAAUUAAGUCACUAAAAAGUAUUUCAACAAUUUUCAAACCUGGUGGUCGUGACUCGAUCAUUAACAUUUCCUCACCUCUCUUACCUUUGAACUCUUGGGGCACGUUUUCAUCUUCAACCUUACCUAUACUGACCAUAUGAAAAUGUCUUUCAUCGGAAAGGUAGUGAAGUUGAAAAUUAUCGUUUGAUAUCUCGGGCACCUGGAAAGAAGAAACAGAACAAGAACAAGUUUCAUAUGGAUUAAUCGAAAUGCUCCUCACUUUUUCUGGUUCGUUUAUCUCUUUUUCUCUCGUUUCUUUUCUAAUCUCAACUUAUUUUUUUCUCUUUUCAUUUCUUCUCUCAUUUUCAAUUUUAUUUUCGACCUCACUCUCUUUUUGGAUUUCUUUUUCUUUUUCAAUCUUUUCUUCUUUUCUUUCGAUUUCUCUUUCUCGCUUGCACUCUUGUUCAAUCUCAAUUUCUUUUUUGAAUUCUUUCUCUUCAUUUUCUUUUUCUCUCACUUUUUUGAUUUCUUGUUCCUUUUCUUUCAUUUCUUUUUUUCGUCUCUCGAUUUCAUUCCAUAUAUGCUCAUUUUCUCUCAUCAACAUUUCUUGUCUUUCUUUUCUUCUUAUUUCUUUUUCUUUUUGCCUCGCUCUUUCAUUAUAGGAUGGAGAUGUUGCAAAUGAAUCAGCACAAAAUGACUCUCGUUGGGUAUAAUUAGAACGACUUUCAUACAAAAAAUGAUCACCUCUUCGAGAUUGAUUCUUGGCGGACGAAUACCUUGGUGCAUAUGAAGGACUACUUGUGAUUCCUCGUUCGUCACCUUGAAAAGCUUCAAACUCAAAACUUGCUUUGCUUCGUCUUGAGUUCUUCGUUGAAUAGAAAUCCCGAUAAGAAUCUCUUAGCGAGUAGUCUUUGGAUGCGUAUUGCCGUGAUGAUCUCGACUCCAUUUCUCGACUUGGUGGAUUUUGUUUCCGUUGGGACUUUUCCUCCACUCGGUUCAAACGUCUUUUUAAUGGGCUUAGUUUUUCCUCCAAAAUUCGGCCCAUCUCGUUCACCAAGUAUUGAAAUUCAUCAGUAGAGAAUUCUUCUUGAGACAUGAUUUAAUUACUAAAAAAAUGAUUAAAACAAAACAAAAAUUAAAUACCUCACCACAAAAAUCUCACGUUUCACUCGCAAAGAAAAUUGGAUAGCACACCACUCGUGUUUACGCUCGUUUAAUGGCUUUUGAUCACUCUAAUGUACUCACCACUCGUGCCUUUUUCCACUCGUCUCACUCUCGUGAAUUCGUAUUUUGUUUCAAGAAGACUUAUUGUGGCUUAGAGGGUCAGCUUCAAAUGGGUUACAAGGGAUAACAUCGGGUGUAGGGUAGGCUAAACAAAGAAAAUAAAAAUCAAAGUAUGUGUGGCGUUUUGGGGGGGUAGAGGGAAUGGUAGAAUGAAUGGAUGCUCGGAAGCAACAAGAAACAAAAUAAAACUUACAAGACUUUUCACUUUUUUUAUACUUCAAUUUUUUUGAAUUUUUUUUGAAUUUUUUUUGAUUUUUUUUUCAAAUUUCCUCUCUUUUUUUUUUCAAUUACAAUAUGCUGAAAUACAAAGGAAGAAGAAAAAAAAUUACAACCUAAUUUUUUUUUCUCGUUACGAACCUACUCCGAGCUUGGUACGAUUGUCGGCAUUCCUCGUUUUAGUAGCUCUGAUACCAGAUGAUGUGAUCCGGCCCGGGUUAAUUGAGUCGUUUCACGUAAUUGCCCGAUCGUCGAUGAGGAAUAGUUGAGUUAUCGGAAAUAGGAUGAAAUAAGGCUAAAGAUGCGAAAGCUUUCAAGUGGUUUUAAAGGUUGGCUAAGGUGAUGGUAAAUUUAUAAGGGUAGUAGGCUCGAUUUAAGGAUAAAAAUAAGAAAAAAUGGAAGUUGAUAAAUGAAGGCUCGGUUUUGUAAAAAGAUAUUAUAGUUGGGUAAAAUCUAGGAUAGUCGGUGGAAUGGAUAAAUGAGCUUAAACACCAGAAACGAUUCAACACUAAAAAGUGUCACCCCGAUUUCUAUUCGGUUCAAGGUGGGAUUGCGGAAUUGUAGAAGGGUUGAACGCCACACCAAAGCAAGGCGAUAAGUUCAAAAGAGAACGAUAGACGCCACUAGUACGCUAGAUAAGUUCAUUCAAAUGAUCAAAAGUCAAAAGUCCUUUUACAAUGAAAAUGAACAACUAUUUAUAGUGUUCAGCUAGGUAGCCGAAUGGCCAAAACAAAGACUUAAUGUCUAAGUAAUUAAUUAGGCUAGAAAAUGCUAGAAAAUUUUGGAAAUAAAAAACUAAAUUGCUGGAGCUAAAUUCAGCUGAAUUUGAAGCUCAAGGGACGAUUUCUAGAAGAGCAAAUGCACUUGGAGAAAUGGCAGCAGCUAGGUUCAGCCAAUUGAGCUUAAAUGAGCUCAUUAAAAUGUAAUUCUUGGCUGAAAAGAGACCAGCAUUAAAGGUGAACGUGAACAGCCUUGAAGGUGUGAAAAAGGAGUUGGAAAAGUCUUUGGAAGUGUGAACAAUGAUCAGCCAAAUGGUCCUUGGUGUGAACUCCAAAUGUGAACGCAUAGGUGCUGUUUUGGGAAGUGCAUCGGCCAGCUUUUGGAGAAUGAAUUUAGUUGCUCUUCUUGGCUGAAUUAACACCUUGAAUUAUCAUAAAAUGAGCCAUAUCCAUGAAUCCAACCAUUCAUGUAUUCAGCCAUUCAUGUAUACUCCCAUACGUUGUAUUGAACCAUUCAUGCACUUCAUAUCCAACCAUUCAUGUAUUCAGCCCUUCAUGCAUUCAGCCAUCCUACAAGAAAAAAACAUGAACUAAAUUAAGUGCAAAUGUAUAUUCGGUUCAUGUAUUCAGCCCUUCAUGCAUUCAGCCAUCCUACAAGAAAAAACAUGAACUAAAUUAAGUGCAAAUGUAUAUUCGGCUGAACUAAAUGGUAUUAAGACAAAUUAAAUAUAAUCCAGCCACCUAAUUAAAUUCGGCUAACACAACAUAAUUAUAACAUGUAAUAAGCUGACAAGUAAUUAAGAGCUGUAACUAAAUUAACUAAUUAACUUAAAUAAUUAAUUUAUUCCAGCAAAUAAAAUUAAUUUAGCUAAAGAGCUAAUAAUGAGCUGAAUUGAAUUUAAACCAAGCUCAAAUGAGCUGAAUUAAGCUCAUGUGAGCUAAAAUAAAAUUCGGUGAGCUGAACCAAGCUAAAUGGAGCUUGAGGAGCUGAAUUCAAGCUGAAAUCAAGGGCAUCCUUGGCCAAGGUCGUAUCAUAAGCUUUGUAGAGUUAUUAUUGAUGGUGAAAGUUGCUCGAACGUAGCUAGCACGACGAUGGUGGAAAAGCUUUGUUUAACCACUACCAAGCAUCCAUGACCUUAUCAACUGCAAGGGCUUAGCAACGAAGGCCAAUUUAAGGUCACUCAACAAGUACGUAUCGCCUUUUCUAUCGGCAAGUAUCAAGACGAAGUCGUGUGUGACGUAGUGCCUAUUCAAGCCUGCCAUUUGUUGCUAGGAGAACCAUGGAAAAGGGAUCAAAAGGUCACCCACGAUGGUCAUACCAAUAGGUAUUCUUUCAAGCAUCAAUGAAGGAAAGUCACCUUAGUGCCGCUCACUCCGGAACAAGUCCAUGAGGAGCAAAUCAAACUAAAAAAUUCUGUUGUUAAAACAAGUGAGGAAAAAGAAAAAGGAGAAGAGAAAAAUAAAAGUGAAAAAGAAGAAAAUGAAAAUGAAAAAGGCGAAAAGGAAACUGAGAGAGAAACAAAAAAAAUGUGAAUGAAGUGAGUGAAAAAGAGAGAGAGCUUAAACAAGGAAUGAGUGAAGAAGAAGAGAGUGCUCAAACACAAGGGAGGAAUAUUUUUGCUAACCCCCAUUCGAAAUCGCCUUGUGAUUUCUCUUUGUUUUAGGUUUGCAAGAUUCCACCCAUGGACAGGUUCCAGCUUCAUUACCCUUCUACUGAGAGACGUUUUCAAUUGAUUGAACAAGGUAAAACUGAUCCUCAUUUUCCCACCUCUAAUGGUAAGCUAGGUGAAGUUUCUCUAUUCUCUAAACAACUUCAUUCAACUCGUAUUGAUGACUUUGCUCAUGACUUGAAUUUUGAAAAGGUACUGUAUGUUAUUGUCGAUAAUUGCCAUUCUUGGAUUGAUGACAUUUUAAUUUACUCAACAACAUUAAAUGAUCAUGUUUUCCAUGUUGGAACAGUUUUAGACAUUCUAANNNNNNNNNNNNNNNNNNNNNNNNNNNNNNNNNNNNNNNNNNNNNNNNNNNNNNNNNNNNNNNNNNNNNNNNNNNNNNNNNNNNNNNNNNNNNNNNNNNNNNNNNNNNNNNNNNNNNNNNNNNNNNNNNNNNNNNNNNNNNNNNNNNNNNNNNNNNNNNNNNNNNNNNNNNNNNNNNNNNNNNNNNNNNNNNNNNNNNNNNNNNNNNNNNNNNNNNNNNNNNNNNNNNNNNNNNNNNNNNNNNNNNNNNNNNNNNNNNNNNNNNNNNNNNNNNNNNNNNNNNNNNNNNNNNNNNNNNNNNNNNNNNNNNNNNNNNNNNNNNNNNNNNNNNNNNNNNNNNNNNNNNNNNNNNNNNNNNNNNNNNNNNNNNNNNNNNNNNNNNNNNNNNNNNNNNNNNNNNNNNNNNNNNNNNNNNNNNNNNNNNNNNNNNNNNNNNNNNNNNNNNNNNNNNNNNNNNNNNNNNNNNNNNNNNNNNNNNNNNNNNNNNNNNNNNNNNNNNNNGAAUGGUAGCACCUGGAAUGAAAUCAAUCUGGUGCUCAAUGCCACGAAGAGGUGGUAAUCCCUUUGGUGUUUCUUUUGGAAACACAUCCUCAAACUCUUGCAAAAGGGACACAAUUGAUGCAGGCAAAUCAGCAGGGAACUCAGCCAAUAAACAAUGAUCUUUAAACAUUAAAAUAAACAAGGAUUGGUAAGAGGAAAGACAUUUCCUGAUUUCUCGACUGCUUGCAUAUACACUCAUCUUUUUCUUCUCCUUUGCAACUUUCUUACUUUUUUUCAAGCUUGUUUGAUCUUCAAUUACUUGACUCGGUGUCAAAGGAGCCAAAGUAAUCUUCUUACCUGGAUGCAUAAAAGAGUAUCGAUUUGUAAAACCAUCAUGCAUUGCCCUCUUGUCAUACUGCCAAGGGCGCCCCAAAAGAAGGUGAGUAGCAUCCAUCGACACAACAUCACAAAGGACCUUGUCCUUGUAGUUUCCAAUUGAAAACGGUACAACCACUUGUUUCGUCACUUUAAGUUCUCCAUCGUCAUUCAACCACUGCAACUUGUACGGAUUCGGAUGCUUUGUCGUCUUAAGACCUAAUCUAUCAACCAUCACUGAACUAGCAACAUUAGUACAACUACCGCUAUCAAUAAUCACAACACAUACCUUAUCUUGAACCUUGCAUCGUGUGUGAAAGAUAGUCUCACGUUGUUGCUCGUCUUGCACCUGUUGCACAUUCAAACUACGUUUGACAACCAUGAUCUCCAUAACUUGACCAGAUUUAGCAACUUCUAGGUCAUUCUCUUCAUCUUCUUUAGUCGGGAGUUCAUGUACUUCUUCCUCAGAAUCUGAUUCGAUCUCUCCAUCUUCUCGCAUCAAUAUAACCCUCCGAUUAGGACACUGGCUAGCAACAUGUCCUCUACCAAGGCACUUAAAGCACUGAAUAUCUCUUGAUCGUUCUGGUGCCACCAUUGUGAUACGACCACGCCUCCGGCACAUUUUUUGAUCAGCUCCAUAAGUAUUUCUUGCACACCCAUGUGAGCUAAAUUAGCUCAAUUGCAUCUCGCUGAGCUUCGUUUAGCUUGUUUCCAGCUCAAUGGGAUCAUUUUGCUCAAUUUGAGUUUAUUUUAAUUCUUAAAUUUUCAUUUGCUAAAAUAAAUUGAAUAAGUUAGUUUAUUUAUUUAUUCCAGCACAACUAAGUGUUAGUAUUAAAUUUAUUAAAAUUGGACAUUUUAAUUAGGUGUUUUAAAUAUGUUUUAUUUUUAUUUUUUUUAAUGUGUCCUAUUUUCAUACAUAGCAUAAAUAUGUCUAGGCUAUUACAUCUAUUUAUUAUGACGAAUUUAAUGCUGCCACUGCAUGUUAUAAAUAUGUCUGGACGAAAUUAAUGCUGCUGCUACAUGUUUGGACGAAUUUAAUGUAUGUUUUUAAGGUGUCCAGCUGAAUUUAAUUGUCAUUACAUCAUUUAAUUUGUUUUGCUACAACCGAAUUUAAUGAUGUCUUAAAUGGUGUCCAGUUGAAGUUAAUUGUGGCGCCGAAUUAAAUAUGUCUAGUUAACCAUUUAAUGUUGUCUUAACAUGAAUUAAUGGUUGUUGCAUGCAGGUACAUGGACAGCAUUAAAAGAAGUGGUUGUUGCCGAAAUUAAAAUUGCUGGAAUUCAUGUGCAGCAAAAGCAAUUAUGGACGGCCAUUCAAUGGAUGCUGGAAGCAUUUAAGGAGCUGCUUGUGCUUUUUCAUGUGGCCAUUUAAUGGACGAAAUUAAAGAAGCUGCUUGCUGAUUUAUUGUGCAGCAAAGCCAUGAAUUAAAUGUGAUGUUCCACAUGCAAGGAACGUCCACUUAAUGAGCUACUGAUUUAUUUUUUUCGUGCACAGCAAGGGAUCCAUGAAGAGUUGCUGAUUCCUCUUUUCCAUGAGCCAUUUUCGUUCUUCUCAAAUGCCAUAAAUGUGCCAUCCAUGUGAGGGAAUGUGCCUCUUCGUGGAGAUUAAAAAGCUAUGACUCCUCACAUUUAUUUGGCAGCCCAUUUCUCUUCCCCAAGUUGGCCUUUGAGCUCCCUAAGCAUCCAUAAGAGCUUUCACACAAGUUGGACAAAUUUAGGCCAACCUAAACAAUUCUAUUCAGCCAUUUCAGCUAAACCAUCACCUCAUUAAUUCAAGGCUAUUAGAAGACAUCAAAUGGCUGUCCAUUGACGUUUCCAAAGCUGGGAAUCUUCAAGAAAGCUUCAAGGGACGUUCUAGGAAGCUACAUGAAAUUUUCAAUUCAUUUGCUUUGAAAAUAAGCUGACUUUUUAGCUGCUCAAGUGUCCAUUUGGCUAGCCUAGGAAUUUAGCUAUAAAUAGUUUACUUUGUAAUUGUUUUGGGGUUAGACAAUAUUUUUUUAAAACUUAUAUGAAAUUUGUUUACUUUGUGAGUUUGUUUUCAACUCUCAUUGUUCUCCAAGGACUGGUUAGACUUAUCAAGUAACCCUUGUGGCGUCAACCCGUUUUUAUAUUUCGAACUUAUACUUUGCACCCAAAGUGUGCCGUUCAAAGUUAUACAGAGGUUCCUAUCAUCUUUGAUAGUGGGUCGAGGUUCCAUUUUAUUCGUUUUCCAUCCAUACAACAUUUAACCUUUCCUAAGUAUUCGUAUAAGUCCCGGGUUAACACACUUAUAUUAUGUUGGUUCAACUUGAAUACUUGGUUUUCAUUCACCUAUCAACCUCAAUACAUUCCAUAACUGAUACGAGUCAUAAAGGCCCAAUCCAAGUUCAAGAACGUGAUGGGCUCAAAUUGCCACAAGGCCCAAUAACGAGAUCAAAGGCCCGACAAAUGCGGUCCAAACUAAAUGGGACCAUUCAAGAGCUUGUUAGCAAGGCCUUAGAUUCAUACAAGAGAGAACAAGAAAAUCAAGAUUCACUUUCUUGUUUUCAAGAAAAUCAAGAAAUCGAAUCUUGGCCCAAUUUUGCUGUUCGAAGAGAUUUCAAGAAUCAAGAAAAUCAAGAUUUCAAAUCUUGGAAAUCUUGGUCCAAGAAACCAAAUCUUGCAGCCAAAACACAUUGGAUCUCCAUUACGAGCAUCAACGACCCAAUUUUGGUAGGAGAUGGAUCACGAGCCCAAAUUCUUGAAGGCAAGGCCCAAUAACCAAAAUCCAGCCCAAUCAAGAAAUUUCUUCAUACUUAGUUGAAAAUCAGGCCAAAAUGUCAAAGGGCCCAAUUUGUAAACAUCUUACUUGUUUAAUUUAAUUUUUUAAUCUUUAGGAGCAUUACAUGUAAAAUUCAGCCCAAAAUAGCCCAUAUAAGUGCAUGGCCGAAUUUACCUUGUUAUUUUAUUAAUUAGGUUUAAUUUUUUAUUAGUUACUUGUGAGAUUAGGAUUUGUUGGAGGCCUAUAUAAGCAUUGGCCAGCCACCCUUUGUAAAAACAUCUUAUUAUUAUUUUUUCUAUCAAAUUUUAGAUUUGUUGAGUGCAGAAUUUUCUUUGGGGUUUUCUCCAAGAAUUCUCUCUUGAGUUUUCUUUAGAAGUUGUUUUAACAAUCUUUUGAUUGUGGGAGCCACCUUCAACCUUCUUCUUGCCAUCGAUAUUCUUUGGAGGGGAGAUUAGAGCCGUUUGAAGAGAUUUGUGAAAUCUUUCAGGAUUUCAAGGAUCUUUAGGACUUAUCCUUUAAUUCUUGCUGUUUUCGAUUUCUUUCUUUACUUUUCUUUGCUUAUACUUGUGCCGAUUUCUCAUCUAAUAUUUUGCUGUUCUUGUUUGUUUUCCAGCAUUGAUUAAACUCAAGAUCUCAUCGUUUAAGUUGUUCUCCGAUUGGCAGCACCCAUUCGAACCCAAAAAUCCCCAAUUCCUAGGGUUUCGCCGAUUGGAUUUCUUUCAAUUUGGGAAUCAAUUGAUUGCUGGAAAUUGAGCAUUCUUGGCCGAAUCAAUUCCUUGGCAGAUUCGCAUCUUUUCUUUCUUCUCAAUUUCGUUUGAUUCAUCGAUUCUAUUUCUUUUCUUCUUGCUGCUCUUUUAAUUGAAUUUGGGAAUUUUAAAUUCAAAUCUGAUUCGGUUUAAUCUUAAUCUUUGUUUUUGAUUUCAGAUCUGUUCGUUUAGGAUCUUUCGUAGGAGUUUCCCGUGACUUGGCAACUCGAUCUUGGUCCGCGCGCGCCUCCGUAUCAAUAACCCCUUUUGAACUAAAUUUGAGCCUUUAUCUCUUCUUUCUUAACCUAUUUCGUCCACCCUCGAGUAUUACUCCAAUUCACGAUCGGGAACAACAACGACUCGGAUUCAUCAACAAGGCCGGGGGCGUAUCACAUUGGUUGUUUGCCACGUCCAUUAUCAGCAAUGGGAGGCUUUGGUUUGCUGGAUUCACCUGGCUCUCGAAUCCGUAAUGGCGGUUGUGGUGCUUGUUUCCUAGUAUUGUUAGGGGUAUAUAAAGGAUUCGAAAAAGAUUUAAAUGGAGUAUUACCUCGAGUAGAAGCUUUUCUACGUUGUUGUCGCUCAAUUUUGAUCGCCAUAUGCACCAUGUCAUCCAACUCAACAUAAUGUUGCAUUUCAACAAUGUUUGCUAUUUCAGAAUUUAAACUUGCCAAAAACCGAGCCAUAGUCGCCUCACGAUCCUCAACUAUGUUUGCACGCAUCAUGGACAUCUCCAUCUCCUUGGAAUAGUCCUCAACGCUCCUGUUGCCCUGUUUCAAGGUUUGUAAUUUCUGAAAUAAAUCUCGAUGAUAGUGAGAAGGAACAAAUCGUCUCCGCAUGAUACGCUUCAUAUCUUCCCAUGUUCUCACUAGACCUUCACCUGUACGUCGUCGCCUAAUCAGUAAUUGGUCCCACCAUACUAGUGCAUAGUCAAUAAACUCCAUAGCUGCUAGUCAAACUUUUUUCUGUUCUGAGUAGUUAUAACACUCAAAAACAUGUUCAACCUUGCUUUCCCAUGUCAGAUAAGCAUCUGGAUCUGAACGUCCCUGAAAAGAAGGUAUGGCAACGUUAAUGUUAGAAAUAUUAUCGUCAACUGUGCGUCCUGGUCGUUGAUUCACCCUUGGUGAAUGUUCAAUGUCAUUUUCAUCAUUAUGUUCAUUAUGGACAGAUUGUGAACCACCCCCUUCAAUCUUGUCCAAACGAGAGUAUAUAGGCUCUAAUGCAUUUUCUAAUAGACGUUGCAAGGUGCGAGUAAUAGCUUGCAUUUGCAAAUCUGGUGGUUGAUCUCCACCACGACUACGAUCUUCUGUUCUUGUCAUCUAAAGCAACACACAAGAAUAUAGAUAAUGAGUUAAGUAAAACAAAAGUAAAAGUCCUCACAGCACACUCUCAAAACCUCUCAGUUUUCACUCCAAAGAACUGUGCACUCAAAAAUAGCACUCAGCGCUCGUGUUUCACUCGGGAGAAUGCAUGAAUGACUCUUUUUGUCUCCCCUUCUAUUCUCACAACGCUCAAUGCUUUUUCCCUCACAAUUUCUCGUUUUUUUAGUUCUUUAAAGGACUAAUCCAACAUUUCAGAACCUGUUAUAAUUGUGUUGGCUAUAAGGAAAAAAACACACGGUUAGAGAGAAAAAAUAAAUAAACAAAGGGAAAGGAUAAGAAAAGAGUAAAAGGAUAAGAAAAUAAAAUAAACAAGGGGAAAGGAUGGAAUUUAAAUAAUUUAGUUUCUUACUGCAAAGAAGUGCUUUACAACGUUCCUAGCACCGAACAAAUAAGAAUAGUUCGUUUCAGUUGAUAUCUAAGCACUUCGCAAUUACAGAGUACAAAACUAAACAUUAUUCAACAUUUCAACAUAACAAAACACACUUUUUCUUUCCCAAACUUGAUGAAUUUCAAUUCCACUUUUUUUUUGAAUCUGAUUUUUCUUUCUCUUUUUGUUUUUUUGUUUUUUUUUGAAAUUGCGAAACUGAUAUAUAUAUUUUUUUGUUUUGAAUUUUGAAAUUUUCUUGUUGGAGAAGAAAAGUACAACAAUUCCAACCCUAGGCUCUGAUACCAGAUGAUACGAUGUAGCCUAAUGAAAUAGACUAUCUUCAUAUGUUACGGAUCUAGGAAUGUUGUAAGCACGUUCCUGCAACAAGAAAACAGCAAGGAAUUAAAGAAAUAAUCAUGGGUAAAUAUGGGUAAAAGAAAAGAACGAAAAUGAAAGGAAAAUAAAGUUGUUGGCGAUUAAAACAAAACGAAAUUCAAUCGGUGAAGUCGAACGCUUCAUGAAACGGCCAAGGCAGCAACUUGAGUGUUCAACAAUGGCAAAAGUAAUCGUUGGGAAUAGAAUAACGUUAAACUCGAAAGAACCUGCACAAUCUACUGAGCAAACCCGAAUCGAAUCUGUUCAACGUCAAAAGGACUUGGACCCUCUAGAUAGCGAUCUAGGAACCCGAAGGAUCAAGAAAAUUUGACACAACAAACUAAGUCUGAAAUGCCAAGGAAAGUUCAAUGAAGAACCAAAAUUGAGAGAAAUUUUCAAACGUAAUUGUUUUCAUAAAAUCAUCUAACCUGAAUACAUCAUUUUAAUAUGUAUUUAUAAGUACAAAAGAGGGGUGUUGAAUGGAAAUUCGUGGCUGUAAUCAAAAGGGUUUAAAAUAAGAAGUUAUAACUCCUUUUGGCGUCAUUUUAAUAGCAGCCAUACAUUUAAAAUUCAAACGACAACCUCCCUUGUUCUUAUCCUUGUAUAAUCGGCUACACAUGCACACACACACUCUUGUGCACAAGCGGUCAUGUGCUCCUCACAUGUUUGGACGCCACAUGGGCUGCCACAAAUGCAUAGGACACUUGCCCUUACAUAGGACACGUUUCAGCUGCUUCUGGACUCGUCAGCUGGAGUUGAGCUGGUGGAGCUGAGUUUGAGCUAGCUAGAAAUGUAUUGAGCUGAAAUGAGCUGGAAACAAUCUUUCAGAACUAUUUCGAGCUGAGAUGAGCUGUAUGCACAUAUUUGAGCUUCAACCGAGCUAGAAAUGAGGUCUUAAGCUGCUGUCUAUUAUUGUUUGAGCUUCAACCGAGCUAGAAAUGAGAUCUUAAGCUGCUGUCCAUUACGUUUCCUUAUGGUAAACAAAACAAACAUGCAUUAAAGUAAUGCAAACUUAUUGAAAACUUAUUAUCAAGUGGUAAACAUAAUGCAAACACACUUAUAUACUCAAUGGAACUAAUGCAAAUGUUACACUUCAGUAUGUAACACAUUAUAUGAUAUGAGCUCGCCCAUGAAGAUAGGUGCCGAAUCCGUGGAGUUGCCUUUGGGGCCAAUUACUCGAGCACGUGCCAAGAAGUACCAAGAUGCUGUAGCAAGCUAUAUUGCUCGAUUGUGGAGUGAUGGGUUGAUUGCCCAUAAAACGCCCAGCUCAACUAGCUUGAUUCGCAAUUUCCUACAAGCUGAUUUUAGCUUGUGUCAGCUCAAUUUAGCUCAAUUCGGCAAUUAAUUAGUUCAAGGAGCUGAUUAAAUUUAUUUUCAAUAAAUUUAAUUAGUUGUGUUAGUUUAGAAUCAGCUCAAAUCAUUUAAUUAAAUAAAUGUGUCUUAAUCUGGACAUUUUUUAAUUCAGCUUAUUAAAUAUGUUUUAUAUUAGUACAUGCCUUUAACAUGUCCAUAUUAAGUCAUAAAUUAAAUGUGUUUAGUUUAAUUGCAAAGUUUUAAUGUGUCUUGACUAAGACAAAUUUAUUAGUGGAUGCUAAUUAAUUUGUCUUAGCCGAAUUAAUGUGCAGAAUUUUAAUAUGUCCAGCUGCUGAUUUCAUGAGUAUUAAACUUGUCUUAACCACAUUUAGUUGAUGUUUUUCAGCUAGCUUAAUGGAAAAGAAAGCUCAUAAAGAAGGAGCAUGUAUUUGGGCACAUGCAUGGACGGCAUUUAAAGUGCAGCUGCCUUGUGUUUCCAGCUGACUUUUUGUGCAGCUCAAUGGACUUCUAGCUGCUGUUUUGAGCUUCUCCAAGGGCCAAUUUCGUGGAGAGCAAUUGAUACGACCAUGCCCCGGGCACACUUUUGGAUCAGCUCCCUAAGCAUUGUUUGCAAAUCCAUGCGAGCUGAAUUAGUUCAAUUUCAUUUCGUUAAGCUCCGUUUAGCUCGUUUCCAGCUCACUCGAGCUCAAGUCAACUCACUCAAGCUCAAUUCAGCUCAAUCUUAACCCAAUGAGCUUAUUUUUAGCUUUCUUUAGCUUGCAUUUAUUUUGCUGAAAUAAACCAUUUAAUUUGUCAUUAGUUAAAUUAGUUGUUUAUCUUAAGUUAGUUAAUUUGUUAAAAUCUGGACAAAUAAUUAAUUAAGUGUUUUAAUUAUAUCUAAAUUAAAUACUUAAUUAAUUAUGAUGUUUUAAAUAUGUCUAAAAUUGUUAAUAUGUAUGGCCAAAUUUAAUGUGCAAAUUAUUGAGUUCAUAUGCUGCUAAUUUAAUGUGUUUGAAAUGCAUUUAACUUGCUGAUUUAAUUUGCUGCAGGUUCAUGAACGGAUUGGUGCAAUGUAUGGGAGUGUGCAUGCACAAUUGAGGUUCAAUGGAUGGCAUUUAAAGGAGAACAUGCAUUUGGGACGUUCAUGCAAGAGGGAGUUGCUAAAAGUUCAUGUAUUUGAAGAUUCAUGGAUCAUAUUUAUGGGGGAAAAUACAUGGGACGUUUCAUGCAUUUUCAAGAUGACCAUUCAAGUAUUUUAGGCACAUUAAUGCCUCAUUCAGCCAAGGGAGAUGUAGGAUCAUUAAAGAGCUGCACAUUCAUGGAAUUAUGGAGAUUCUUCAAGGCUAAGGAUGCAUGAAUGCAUCAAGUGAAGCAUCAUGAUGGUUCGGCCAAUUCAUGUACCAUCUUCAAGCAUGAACUGGAUUUUAAUGCUAUUUGUGUGAACAUGUUAAAUACCUGUGUGAACAGAAUUUAAGUUAGUGUGAACAACAUAGAUUCCGAAUAUCAAUAGGCAUUUUAGGCUUAUAAAUAGCUUACUUGUUUAUUGUAAAAGGUUACAGAAUUUGAUUAUUGAAAACUUGAUUGUGAGGUUUCCUCCUAUCCUAUUUCGUACGAGUCUCGUUCUGACUUAUCUAGCUCGCUAGUGGCGUCAACCCGACUUCUUGAACUUAUCACCAUCCUGGUGUGGCGUUCAUCCACCUUUUUAUACCUUUGGUUCCUACCUUUCUAUAGGUAACGGGUCAAGGUCCAUCUUCGACAAUCCAUUAAACCCACCUUAAGCAAUAUAAGUCCCGAGGCAAUACUUCAUAUAGUAUUGAAUCGUUCUUCGCUUGAGUUCUAUUUUUCCAUUCCAUUUUAACUAUUAAAUUAUAAACAAUAUUUCUUUAUUUCACCGAGCCUAUCAAACAUCUACCCAAACCAUCUUUUGAACCCAUUUUCUCAACUUCCGCUAUAAAAAAUCAUCUAACUCCAUCUAUCUACAAAAUCGAACAAACUUCUCGUCGACGAUCGGGCAAUCAAGUGAAUCGACUCAAUCAACCGAGCCAGAUCACAUCAUUUGGUAUCAGAGCUACUAAAACAAGGAGUACCGAUGUUUGUAUCAAGCUCGGAAUAGGUUUGUAACGUAAAAAAAGUCAAAAAAAUCAAAAAAAAUUGAGUUGGAAUUUAAUUUUUUUCUCUUCCUUGUAUUUUGUUUACUAUUGUAUUGGAUUUAAAAAAAAGAGAAGAAAUUCAGAAAAAAAAUUUCAAAAAAAAUGAAAAAAAAGAAGUGACAAAAAAAUCGAGUUAAAAAAAAGAAGAAAGAAAAAAAGUGAAAAGUCUUGCGAGUUUUUAUCAUUAUCACUUAUUACUCCGAUCAUCAAGUUUCCCUUCCUACCAUUAUUUACCCAUCCCAACGCCACACUUUAAACCAAUUUUCUUCUUUAUUCAGCCUACCCUACACCUGACAUUAUCCCUUGUAACCAAUUUGAAACCGACCCUCAAGCAGCAAAUUAAGUCUACCGAGACAAAUCACGAAAUUGUGAGAAGAGGUUGAGUGGAAAAAGGCACGAGUGAAAUUACAUCAAAGAAAAAGCCAAAAUUUGAAUGUAAACACGAGUGCGAGUGAAAAUCAUUAUUUCUUUUUCGAGCGAAUUUGUGAGGUUUGUGGUAAGGUAUUUAUUUUCUUUAUUAUUUUUUUUAACAUCUUCUUGUCAUUACUUAAUCAUGUCUCGAGAAACAUUUCCCGAAUCAGAAUUCCAAUAUUUGAUGCAAGAGAUGCAUAGAAUGGUGAAAUCAAAAUUUGAUAAAUUGCAUGAUCGAUUGGAUCGAGUGGAGGAAAGAGCCCGAUGGAAGCCAAACUCACUGGGUGAAGAGACGGAGACAAGAUCAUCACGAAGGCACACAUCCAUUGAUUUUUUGGGAAGAGAUUCAUACCAUGAUUCCUAUUCAACAAGGAACUCAAGACGAAGCAAAGCAAGUUUUGAGUUUAAAGCUUUCCGAGGUGACGAACGAGAAAUCACAAGUAGUCCUUCGUAUGCACCGAGGUAUUCGUCCGCCAAGAAUCAAUCUCGAAGAGGUGAUCAUUUUUUGUAUGAAAGUCGUUCCAAUUAUACCCAACGAGAGUCAUUUCGUGCUGAUUCAUUUGUAACAUCUCCAUCCUAUAAUGAAAGAGCGAGGCAAAAAGAAAAAGAAAUAAGAAGAAAGGAAAGACAAGAAAUGUUGAUGAGAGAAAAUGAACAUAUAUGGAAUGAAAUCGAGAGACGAAAAAAAGAAAUGAAAGAAAAGGAACAAGAAAUUGAAAAAGAGUGAGAUUGAAGAAAGAAACGAGAGUGUAAAAGAAACGAGUGUCAUGGAAAAAGAAAUUGAGAUUGAAAAAGGAUGUGAAAAAGAGAAAGAAAUCGAAAAAGAAAUUGAGAUUGAACAAAAGUGUGAAGAAAAAGAGAAAAUUGAAAAAGAAAGAAAAGACAAUGAGUUAGAAAAAAAACGAGAGAAAAGGAGGCAAAAGAGCAAGAAAAAGUGAGGAAUCUGUUUACUAAACCACAUGAGAAUUUGUCUUGUUUUGUUUCCUCUUUUCAGGUCUCCGGAAGGCCAAGUGACGAUAAUUUUCAACUCCAAUACCUCUCGAAGGAGAGAAGGUUCAUUUUGGCUGAAAAAGGUAAUGUUCUCAACGAUCCUAGUUCGCCUAUGCCAAAAGGUAAGCAAGGUAUGAAUGUUGAAAAUUUUAAAGCACUUCUGCCUUACUCGAUUGUUGAUGGACACACUGUUGAUGAUUUGGUCUUUAGAAAGAAUCUGAACUUUGACGUGGAUAUUUGUCAUUCUUUGAUUGAUGAUGAUCAAUUUGUUUUGUCUAAUGAUAAGAAGAUUCUUGCUUUUGAAAAAUAUCAUUUUGAUGGUAUUGGUUGUUUAUCUUUAACUUGCAAUGGAAUGCAUGUUUUGGAUGCGCAAGAUGAAAGUCCAUAUAAAAUGUUCAUUCUCACUGAUCAUGUUGAAAAGGAAUGGAAAUGUAUUGAUGAAUACGCCAUUGGCAAGAUUUUUGAUGAAGAGCGAAUAAAUCAGCACCAACAAAAUCUGGAAUUGUGUGAUCAAAAGUUGACAUAUCAUCUGCUUGGUUGUGUUGAUCAUGUGGAUUAUCUAAUUUUUGGUGUGAAAUUUCCAUAUUUUUGUAAAUCUUUUCGAAUGAAAUUUAAAGGGUUUGCUUGUUUGAAUUUGAGUAUGUUAACACCCUCGUUGUUUAAUUUGUGUAAAUUGUUGGAGAUAAAAGGACUCUUUUUGCCAUUUGGAUCGAGUAGUCAAAAUCAUGUCUUUAAUCCUGGAGUUUGCUAUUAUGAAUCAUCCAUGAAAGAAAGCAAGCAUCGUAAAAUUUGUUUGAAUGAAUGUGUAAACAAUCUUUGUUUGUAUGAUACUUUGUCUUUAAGUUUGAAAAUGAGCCAUGUGAAUCUUGUUGGCUUGUUAAGUCAAAAUCAAAAUUUUGUUUUCGGAGGAUGUUCUCAACUGUGGACUAAAAGAUCCGAACAUGUUUUGAAUGAUAAUGAUUUUGAGUUGCUUAAUGCUCUUUCUAUGAAGUCGGUCAUGAAAUUGCCAAAUCAAAUUGAAAUGGCAAGAGAAAAUUUUGUCUUUGACCCCGGUGAACACCAUUCUAUAUCAUUGCCUAAGGUAAUCGAACCAUGGAAAGUUGACUUCCAAAACCAUAGCUAUCAAAUGCCUUGUGAUUUAUGUUUGUUUCCAUCGAAGAAAAAGGUAAGAACGAUUUCUAUUUUCGACCCCGGUAUUGGAUUAUUUGUUCAAACUGUGAAUCAAAUCUCAAAAAGUUCCUUUGUGUUUAAUCUUCAUCGUGUCACUAAUUCGUUUUAUUCUUUUAAAGGUGACAAUGUGAAGUGGUACCCUCCUAAAGAGGGAGGGCAUGCGAAUGAGCUUCUUUUGAUCUGAGUUAAUUGUGGCUUUCAGAAUCUUCAACGAUUUUUCGCGAGUAAAUGGCCCGAUUUGGGGACAAACCGCUUUAAAGAGGGAGGGGAUGAUACGACCAUGCCCCGGGCACACUUUUGGAUCAGCUCCCUAAGCAUUGUUUGCAAAUCCAUGCGAGCUGAAUUAGUUCAAUUUCAUUUCGUUAAGCUCCGUUUAGCUCGUUUCCAGCUCACUCGAGCUCAAGUCAACUCACUCAAGCUCAAUUCAGCUCAAUCUUAACCCAAUGAGCUUAUUUUUAGCUUUCUUUAGCUUGCAUUUAUUUUGCUGAAAUAAACCAUUUAAUUUGUCAUUAGUUAAAUUAGUUGUUUAUCUUAAGUUAGUUAAUUUGUUAAAAUCUGGACAAAUAAUUAAUUAAGUGUUUUAAUUAUAUCUAAAUGAAAUACUUAAUUAAUUAUGAUGUUUUAAAUAUGUCUAAAAUUGUUAAUAUGUAUGGCCAAAUUUAAUGUGCAAAUUAUUGAGUUCAUAUGCUGCUAAUUUAAUGUGUUUGAAAUGCAUUUAACUUGCUGAUUUAAUUUGCUGCAGGUUCAUGAACGGAUUGGUGCAAUGUAUGGGAGUGUGCAUGCACAAUUGAGGUUCAAUGGAUGGCAUUUAAAGGAGCACAUGCAUUUGGGACGUUCAUGCAAGAGGGAGUUGCUAAAAGUUCAUGUAUUUGAAGAUUCAUGGAUCAUAUUUAUGGGGGAAAAUACAUGGGACGUUUCAUGCAUUUUCAAGAUGACCAUUCAAGUAUUUUAGGCACAUUAAUGCCUCAUUCAGCCAAGGGAGAUGUAGGAUCAUUAAAGAGCUGCACAUUCAUGGAAUUAUGGAGAUUCUUCAAGGCUAAGGAUGCAUGAAUGCAUCAAGUGAAGCAUCAUGAUGGUUCGGCCAAUUCAUGUACCAUCUUCAAGCAUGAACUGGAUUUUAAUGCUAUUUGUGUGAACAUGUUAAAUACCUGUGUGAACAGAAUUUAAGUUAGUGUGAACAACAUAGAUGCCGAAUAUCAAUAGGCAUUUUAGGCUUAUAAAUAGCUUACUUGUUUAUUGUAAAAGGUUACAGAAUUUGAUUAUUGAAAACUUGAUUGUGAGGUUUCCUCCUAUCCUAUUUCGUACGAGUCUCGUUCUGACUUAUCUAGCUCGCUAGUGGCGUCAACCCGACUUCUUGAACUUAUCACCAUCCUGGUGUGGCGUUCAUCCACCUUUUUAUACCUUUGGUUCCUACCUUUCUAUAGGUAACGGGUCAAGGUCCAUCUUCGACAAUCCAUUAAACCCACCUUAAGCAAUAUAAGUCCCGAGGCAAUACUUCAUAUAGUAUUGAAUCGUUCUUCACUUGAGUUCUAUUUUUCUAUUCCAUUUUAACUAUUAAAUUAUAAACAAUAUUUCUUUAUUUCACCGAGCCUAUCAAACAUCUACCCAAACCAUCUUUUGAACCCAUUUUCUCAACUUCCGCUAUAAAAAAUCAUCUAACUCCAUCUAUCUACAAAAUCGAACAAACUUCUCGUCGACGAUCGGGCAAUCAAGUGAAUCGACUCAAUCAACCGAGCCGGAUCACAUCAGCAAUGGCCAAAGAGUGCCUCAUAAAUUCCAGCAGCCAAUUCAUGUGGAGGCUACUCAUAUUCGGCCAAAGAAGCAUAAUUUUUGAAGCUGUCCAUUUCUCUUCUCCAUAGCAGCAAUUAAGCUCUUUUAAAACAUUAACUGAAUGUGAAUUUUCUCCAUUAAAGGGGCCAGCCGAAUCAUCUUUUUCUAGAAGGUUAAUUUUCAGAAUUUUAUCACAUGAAUGUAACUAGGAAAUUUCUAGGAAGUUUCCUCAAGAAACUUAAGGCAUAAAGAUCUGAUUAGAUAGGCUAUUCGGCUGCCUUAGUCAAGCUAUAAAUAGGUCAUGUAAUUCACAUUUUGAGGUUAAUGAACAAUUUGAUAGCUUUGCUAAAUUGUAAGGUUGUUUUCAACUCUCGUUAUUCUCCAAAAACUUGUGAGACUUAUCAAACAUCUUUGUGGCAUCAAACUUGUUUUUGUUUCUUCCCAAACUUAUCACUUUAAUCCCAAAAGUGUGGCGUUCGAUUCAUACUAAGGUUCCUAUCAUCAUUGAUAGUGGGUCGAAGUUUCUAUCCAUUUAACAAACCUUCCAUCCAUCCUUACCAACCUAAGCAUUCUCCUAAGUUACGGGUUAACACAUUCCUAUUGUGUUAGUUCGGCUUUCGAAUCCUUAGCCAAAUUGCUUCCAUUGUUUUCUAAUUCAUUUCCUAAACCAACAAAACCCUUUUGAGCCUAAAUAAACCUCUUUCUUCUAGCCUAUUUUGUAAAGCCUCAAUUUACUCAUAAUUCACGAUCGGGCGAUCUUUAUGACUCAAUUCGAUCUCGAGGUGAGGGCGUAUCAAGUUGGUAUCAGAGCUAGCUGAAUCGGAGUAAGAAUCGUUGUCUUCGGUAUUACGAGAUUGUAAAAAAAUUUCGAAAAAAAAAUUUGAAAAAAGAAAUAAAAAAAACAAAAAAAGUUUGUAUUCACUUUAUUUUUCCUUUGUGUAUUCAGUAUUGAAAAAAAAAUUCGAAAUUAAAAAAAAAGAUGUGAUUGAAAUUCAUUUUGAGCUUGUAAAAGCAUUGCUUGCUGCCCGAAGGACCACAUCUAUACAGCCACACUAAUUUCCUUCUAUUUUCUUUGAUUGUUAGCCUACCCGAUCCUAAAAUAUUACCCUACCAAGCCACAUCUAUUUUGUAAGCCGACCCCAAACGAUUUUGAUUUGUCAAACUUAGUUUGCAGAGAAUUUUGGGAAGUGAAAAUUGAGUGGUAAAAGGCAAGAGAGAUUAGUGAGACUAUUAGAGAGUAGAAAAGCCAAAGUGAGUGUUUAUUCUUGUGAGUGAUUGGUGAGUUCUUGUUGUGAUUCUUUAAAGAACUUUUAAAAAAUGUCACGGAGCCCAGAAAGGAAUCCAGACGAGGGAGGUGGAUUUCGUCCAAUAAGAAACGUUGGAAGGGGAGUGCCGGAUCUCACUUUGCAAGCCAUUAUGCAAGAAAUGUUGCGAUUGUUUGAUCGCAAGCUUGAACCAAUCGAAGACCGCCUAUAUCGAGUCGAAACCCAAAGGCAACGCGAAGCGACUCUGGAAGAUGCAAGACGAGAAUAAGAGCAACCAAUUGACAACUAUGAUGAAGAAGAAUCUGAAGGUGAUCACUUAUCUGAACAAGGAAACCCUCAACGGUUCCAACGAAAUCGAGUCCCAAGAAAUCGAGACCGUCCGGAUGAUAAUCUCAAAAAUAUUAAGAUGUCUAUUCCGCCGUUUCAAGGGAAGAAUGAUCCCGAAUCUUACUUGGAGUGGGAAAAGAAAAUGGAACUCGUCUUUGAGUGCCAUAACUAUUCGGAAAAUAAAAAGGUAAAGCUCGCUGCCAUUGAAUUCUCGGAUUAUGCGAUCGUGUGGUGGGAUCAAUUGGUGACUAGCCGAAGGAGGAAUGGGGAGAGGCCUAUCUCUACGUGGGCUGAAAUGAAGGCCGUUAUGCGCAAGCGUUUUGUUCCCUCCUAUUACCAUCGGGAGUUGUACCAACGAUUGCAAAAUCUCACACAAGGCAACCGAACUGUCGAGGACUACUAUAAAGACAUGGAAAUCGCUAUGAUAAGAGCCGACGUGGAGGAGGAUCGUGAAGCAACAAUGGCGAGAUUUUUAUCCGGCCUAAAUCGGGAUAUUGCCAAUAUCGUCGAGCUUCAACACUAUGUAGAAGUUAUGGACAUGGUGCAUAUGGCAAUAAAAGUUGAAAAACAAUUGAAACGAAAAGGACCCAUGCGGACAUAUCCAACGGCGUCUACCAAUAAGUGGACUCAAGGGACUAGCAAAGCUCCCAAUCGGCCUAAGGAGCCUUUCGUUGUUGCCAAACCCAAUCAAGUAAGUGCCGAUGCUAGCAAAAAUAAAAAUGAGGCUGUCUCGAAUCGUUCUCGCGAUAUCAAGUGUUUCAAGUGUCAAGGAAGAGGCCACAUUGCGAGUUAUUGUCCUAAUCGACGAGUGAUGGUGGUUCGUUCAAAUGGCGAGAUUGAGUCCGAAGAUGAACAAGAGGAGGAGCCUGAAAUUCCCAUGGAGGAAGGUGAAGAGCUCGAGCUGCCCGUUGAAGGAGAAUUACUUGUUGUCAAAAGGAGCUUGAAUAUCUAAGUAGCCGAGGAAGAACAACAACGAGACAACAUCUUUCACACUCGUUGCCAUGUUCAAGGUAAGGUGUGUAGUUAAUUAUUGACGGAGGUAGUUGCACCAAUGUCGCAAGUUCUUUGCUGGUUGAAAAACUUGGUUUAGCCACCACAAAGCAUCCAACUCCUUACAAGUUACAAUGGCUAAAUGACGAAGGCGAACUCAAGGUGACGAAGCAAGCAAGGGUGGCGUUUCCAUAGGCAAGUACCAAGAUGAGGUGGUUUGUGAUGUCGUACCAAUGCACGCGGGACAUUUGCUAUUGGGGCGUCCUUGGCAAUUUGACCGGCGAGUAGUCCACGACGGCUAUACAAACUGAUAUUCAUUUAAGUACCUUGGAAGGAAUGUUACAUUAGCUCCUCUCACACCGAAGCAAGUGCAUGAAGACCAACUCAAGAUGAAGCAAUCUAUUGAUCGAGAAAAAGAAAAAGAGAAAAACAAAAAGAGUGGAAAGAAAAAGAAAGAAAAGAAUGAGGAGAGUGAGAUAAAAACAAGAGUGACAAAAGAAAAAGAGCAAGAGUGUGAAAAUAAAAAAAUAAGUGUUUUUGCUAGAAAAAGAGAGAUUCGAAAAUUGAUGUUGGCAAGGCAACCUAUUUUUGUACUUAUGUAUAAAGAGUGUUUAUUGGAAACUAACGAACUUGACAAUACUUUGCCUACUCCUAUCGUUUCUUUGUUGCAGGAAUUCGGAGAUGUUUUUCCUAAAGAAGUGCCAAAUGGCCUACCUCCCAUUCGAGGAAUCGAAUACCAAAUUGAUUUUGUGCCCGGUUCUGCAAUUCCAAAUAGGCCAGCAUAUAGAAGUAAUCCUGAGGAAAUGAAGGAAUUAGAAAAGCAAGUAGCCGAAUUAAUGGAGAAGGGCUACAUCCGUGAAAGCUUAAGUCCGUGCGCGGUCCCAGUAUUGUUGGUUCCUAAAAAGGAUGGAUCCUGGCGAAUGUGCGUUGACUGCCGCGCUAUCAACAAAAUCACAAUAAAAUAUCGCCAUCCUAUUCCCCGCCUCGACGACAUGCUUGAUGAACUUAGUGGAGCCCAAUUGUUUUCGAAGAUCGAUUUAAAAAGUGGGUAUCAUCAAAUUAGAAUGCAAGAGGGAGACGAAUGGAAAACUGCGUUCAAAACUAAAUAUGGUUUGUAUGAAUGGUUGGUAAUGCCAUUCGGACUUACCAACGCUCCAAGUAAUUUCAUGCGCCUCAUGAAUUAUGUUUUACGUUCGUUCAUUGGAAAAUUCUUUGUUGUGUAUUUUGAUGAUAUUUUAGUCUAUAGCAAGAGCUUGGAAUAUCAUAUUCAACAUCUACGUGCCGUGCUUGAAGUCUUACGAAAAGAGGUACUUUAUGCCAAUUUAAAGAAAUGUUCUUUUUGCACUAAUGAAGUUGUUUUUCUAGGCUUUGUGGUAAGUGCUCGUGGAUUAGAAGUUGACCAAGAAAAGGUCAAGGCGAUCAACGAAUGGCCGCGUCCAAUGAACAUCAGCCAAGUGAGGAGUUUUCACGGGUUGGCAAGCUUCUAUCGAAGGUUUGUGCCUAAUUUUAGUUCUGUAGCUGCCCCCUUGACAGGUAUAAUUAAGAAAAAUUCUCCUUUUGUGUGGACUAAUGAACAAGAAAAUUCUUUUAAUAAGCUUAAAGAAUGUCUAACUAAUGCACCAUUGUUGUCUUUACCUGAUUUUAACAAAACAUUCGAGAUAGAGUGUGAUGCUUCAGGUAUCGGCAUUGGCGCUGCUUUGAUGCAAGAUGGACGGCCUAUUGCAUACUUUAGUGAAAAGCUUAACGGAGCUACGUUGAAUUAUCCAACGUAUGAUAAGGAACUAUAUGCAUUGGUCCGAGCUCUCGAAACAUGGCAACACUAUUUAUGGCCGAAGGAAUUCGUAAUUCAUUCGGACCACGAGGCUUUAAAGCAUUUGAAGGGACAAACCAAGCUCAAUAAACGUCAUGCCAAGUGGGUGGAGUAUUUGGAGUCGUUUCCGUACGUGAUCAAGUAUAAAAAGGGUAAGGAAAAUGUUGUAGCCGACGCCCUAUCACGAAGGUACGCACUUGUCAAUUUAAUGGAUUCUAAAUUGCUUGGUUUCGAAUUUAUCAAAGAUCUUUAUAAAUCUGAUGCUGACAUUGGUGAAAUUUAUGAGUCUUGUUCGCAUGGUGCUUGUGAAAAGUAUUUUCAGCAUGAGGGCUAUUUAUUUCGUGAAGGCAAGCUUUGUGUGCCUCAAAGUUCUGUGAGAAACGUCCUUGUAGAAGAAGCUCAUAGCGGAGGACUUAUGGGCCACUUCAGAAUUGCUAAAACUUUAGCAAUAUUGUAUGAACAUUUCUAUUGGCCCAAAAUGAAAUGUGACGUAAUAAGGAAAUGUGAUCGUUGCAUCACUUGUAAGAAGGCAAAGUCACGAAUCAAACCGCAUGGAUUAUACACCCCAUUGCCUAUUCCUGAUGCUCCGUGGGUAGACAUUUCAAUGGACUUCAUUCUGGGCCUUCCAAGAACCAAAAGAGGGAGAGAUUCAAUAUUUGUUGUUGUAGACCGUUUUUCAAAAAUGGCCCAUUUUAUACCUUGUAAUAAAACUGAUGAUGCUACUAACGUUGCUAGUCUGUUUUUCAAGGAAGUUGUUAGGUUGCAUGGGAUCCCUCGAACCAUUGUCUCUGAUCGCGACACAAAGUUUCUAAGUCAUUUUUGGAGGACGUUGUGGGGGAAAUUGGGCACCAAACUUCUAUUUUCGAUGACAUGCCACCCUCAAACGGAUGGCCAAACCGAAGUAGUCAACCGUGUGCUAUCAACUUUGCUUCGAGCUAUUUUGAAAAAGAAUUUGAAGAUGUGGGAAGAUUGCUUACCUCAUGUGGAGUUCGCAUACAAUCGAACCGUUCAUUCUGCUACGAAAUUUUCUCUUUUUGAGGUAGUAUACGGUUUUAAUCCCAUUACUCCUCUUGAUUUGAUUCCUAUGCCUUCUAAUGAAUUAGUACAUGUAGAUGGCAAAAAGAAGGCCGAAUUUGUUAAACAAUUGCACAAAAAUGUUAAGGAUAAUAUUGAGAGGAGAACCGAACAAUAUGUUCGAGGGGCAAAGAAAGGGCGCAAAUGAGUCGUGUUCGAACCCGGUGACUGGGUUUGGAUCCACAUGCGCAAAGAACGGUUUCUCGAUCAAAGGAAAUCCAAGCUUCAAUCAAGGGGUGAUGGCCCUUUUCAAGUAUUGGAACGGAUCAAUGACAACGUCUAAAAGAUUGACCUACCGGGUGAGUAUGCAGUGAGUGCAAGUUUUAACGUUGCUGACCUUUCUCCUUUUGAUGUAGGUGACGAUUCGAGGACGAAUCGCUUCGAGGAGAGGGAGGAUGAUAUGAGCUCGCCCAUGAAGAUAGGUGCCGAAUCCAUGGAGUUGCCUUUGGGGCCAAUUACUCGAGCACAUGCCAAGAAGUUCCAAGAUGCUAUAGCAAGCUAUAUUGCUCGAUUGUGGAGUGAUGGGUUGAUUGCCCAUAAAACGCCCAGCUCAACUAGCUUGAUUCGCAAUUUCCUACAAGCUGAUUUUAGCUUGUGUCAGCUCAAUUUAGCUCAAUUCGGCACUUAAUUAGUUCAAGGAGCUAAUUAAAUUUAUUUUUAAUAAAUUUAAUUAGUUGUGUUAGUUUAGAAUCAGCUCAAAUCAUUUAAUUAAAUAAAUGUGUCUUAAUCUGGAUAUUUUUAAUUCAGCUUAUUAAAUAUGUUUUAUAUUAGUACAUGCCUUUAAUAUGUCCAUAUUAAGUCAUAAAUUAAAUGUGUUUAGUUUAAUUACAAAGUUUUAAUGUGUCUUGACUAAGACAAAUUUAUUAGUGGCUGCUAAUUAAUUUGUCUUAGCCGAAUUAAUGUGCAGAAUUUUAAUAUGUCCAGCUGCUGAUUUCAUGAGUAUUAAACUUGUCCUAAGCACAUUUAUUUGAUGUUUUUUUCAGCUAGCUUAAUGGCAAAGAAAGCUCAUAAAGAAGGAGCAUGUAUUUGGGCACAUGCAUGGACGGCAUUUAAAGUGCAGCUGCCUUGUGUUUCCAGCUGACUUUUCGUGCAGCUCAAUGGACUUCUAGCUGCUGUUUUUGAGCUUCUCCAAGGGCCAAUUUCGUGGAGAGCAAUGGCCAAAGAGUGCCUCAUAAAUUCCAGCAGCCAAUUCAUGUGGAGGCUAUUCAUAUUCGGCCAAAGAAGCAUAAUUUUUGAAGCUGUCCAUUUCUCUUCUCCAUAGUAGCAAUUAAGCUCUUUUAAAACAUUAACCGAAUGUGAAUUUUCUCCAUUAAAGGGGCCAGCCGAAUCAUCUUUUUCUAGAAGGUUAAUUUUCAGAAUUUCAUCACAUGAAUGUAACUAGGAAAUUUCUAGGAAGUUUCCUCAAGAAACUUAAGGCAUAAGGAUCUGAUUAGAUAGGCUAUUCGGCUGCCUUAGUCUAUUCGGCUGCCUUAGUCAAGCUAUAAAUAGGUCAUGUAAUUCACAUUUUGAGGUUAAUGAACAAUUAGAUAGCUUUGCUAAAUUGUGAGGUUGUUUUCAACUCUCGUUAUUCUCCAAAAACUUGUGAGACUUAUCAAACAUCUUUGUGGCGUCAAACUUGUUUUUGUUUCUUCCUGAACUUAUCACUUUAAUCCCAAAAGUGUGGCGUUCGAUUCAUACUAAGGUUCCUAUCACCAUUGAUAGUGGGUCGAAGUUUCUCUCCAUUUAACAAACCUUCCAUCCAUCCUUACCAACCUAAGCAUUCUCCUAAGUUACGGGUUAACACAUUCCUAUUGUGUUAGUUCGGCUUUCGAAUCCUUAGCCAAAUUGCUUCCAUUGUUUUCUAAUUCAUUUCCUAAACCAACAAAACCCUUUUGAGCCUAAAUAAACCUCUUUCUUCUAGCCUAUUUUGUAAAGCCUCAAUUUACUCCUAAUUCACGAUCGGGCGAUCUUUACGACUCAAUUCGAUCUCGAGGUGAGGGCGUAUCACGAUGCUAGCAAAAAUAAAAACGAGGCUAUCUCGAAUCAUUCUCGCGAUAUCAUGAUACGCCCCGGCUCGGGAAGGAGAGUCGAGUCGUAGAUGUGCCCGAUCGUGAAUUGGAGUAAUACUCAAGGGUGGACAAAAUAGGUUAAGAAAGAAGAGAUAAAGGCUCAAAUUUAGUUCAAAAGGGGUUAUGAAAUGUAUUGAGGAUGAUAGGUGAAUGAAAACCAAGUAUUCAAGUUGAACCAACACAAUAUAAGUGUGUUAACCCGGGACUUAUACGAAUACUUAGGAAAUGUUAAAUGUUGUAUGGAUGGAAAACGAAUAAAAUGGAACCUCGACCCACUAUCAAAGAUGAUAGGAACCUCGGUAUAACUUGAACGCCAGACUUUGGGUGCAAAGUGAUAAGUUCGAAAUACAAAAACGGGUUGACGCCACAAGGGUUACUUGAUAAGUCUAACCAGUCCUUGGAGAACAAUGAGAGUUGAAAACAAACUCACAAAGUAAACAAAUUUCAUAUAAGUUUUAAAAGUAUAUUGUCUAACCCCAAAACAAUUACAAAGCAAACUAUUUAUAGCUAAAUUCCUAGGCUAGCCGAAUGGACACUUGAGCAGCUAAAAAGUCAGCUUAUUUUCAAAGCAAAUGAAUUGAAAAUUUCAUGUAGCUUCCUAGAACGUCCCUUGAAGCUUUCUUGAAGAUUCCCAGCUUUGGAGACGUCAAUGGAUAGCCAUUUGAUGUCUUCUAAUAGCCUUGAAUUAAUGAGGUGAUGGUUGAGCUGAAAUGGCUGAAUAGAAUUGUUUAGAUUGGCCUAAAUUCGUCCAACUUGUGUGAAAGCUCUUAUGGAUGCUUGGGGAGCUCAAAGGCCAACUUGGGGAAGAGAAAUGGGCUGCCAAAUAAAUGUGAGGAGUCAUAGCUUUUUAAUCUCCACGAAGAGGCACAUUCCCUCACAUGGACGGCACAUUUAUGGCAUUCGAGAAGAACAAAAAUGGCUCAUGGAAAAGAGGAAUUAGCAACUCUUCAUGGAUCCCUUGCUGUGCACGAAAAAAAUAAAUCAGCAGCUCAUUAAGUGGACGUUCCUUGCAUGUGGAACAUCACAUUUAAUUCAUGGCUUUGCUGCACAAUAAAUCAGCAAGCAGCUUCUUUAAUUUCGUCCAUUAAAUGGCCACAUGAAAAAGCACAAGCAGCUCCUUAAAUGCUUCCAGCAUCCAUUGAAUGGCCAUCCAUAAUUGCUUUUGCUGGACAUUAAUUCCAGCAAUUUUAAUUUCAGCAACAACCACUUCUUUUAAUGCUGUCCAUGUACCUGCAUGCAACAACCAUUAAUUCAUGUUAAGACAACAUUAAAUGGUUAACUAGACAUAUUUAAUUCGGCAGCCACAAUUAACUUCAACUAGACACCAUUUAAGACAUCAUUAAAUUCGGUUGUAGCAAAACAAAUUAAAUGAUGUAAUGACAAUUAAAUUCAGCUGGACACCUUAAAAACAUACAUUAAAUUCGUCCAAACAUGUAGCAGCAGCAUUAAUUUCGUCCAGACAUAUUUAUAACAUGCAGUGGCAGCAUUAAAUUCGUCAUAAUAAAUAGAUGUAAUAGCCUAGACAUAUUUAUGCUAUGUAUGAAAAUAGGACACAUUAAAAAAAACAUAAAAAUAAAACAUAUUUAAAACACCUAAUUAAAA
rnacentral:lncRNA from 1 species